AUGAAUACAUAAGAUACAUACACUAAAAGAUAAGAUAGCUUAUAUGCCAUGGGAAGGUUACAAUUUUGAAGAUGCGGUACUCAUUAGUGAGCAUCUGGUAUAUGGAGAUAUUUAUACUUCUUUUCAUAUACGGAAAUAUGAAAUUCAGACUCAUGUAACAAGCAAUGGCCCUGAAAGAAUCACUAACGAAAUACAGCAUCUAGAAGCCCAUUUACUUUGCAAUUUAGACAAAAAUGGAAUUGUGAGGUUGGGAUAUUGGGUAAAGACAUGUGAUAUUUUAGUAGGCAAAUUAACACCUCAAAUGGCGAAAGAAUCGUUGUAUGCUCCGGCAGAUAGAUUAUUACGAGCCAUACUUGGCAUUCAUGUAUCCACUUCAAAGGAAACUUGUCUAAAAUCGAAACUUAAUAAGGGAUGAAGGAAAAAACCUAUAUACAUACAUAUAGUAUUGAAAUACUAUCUCAAAAUGAUUAAUGACGACCCAAAUCUGUAUUUUUUUUAUAUUUAUAUGAAAAAUGAAAGACUUGUUGUGAAUCAAUUAAAAAUUGAAAAAAGAAGUGAAUAUUCAUUGAUCAAAUCAUUCACUCCACCGUAGUCUAAUAGAUCUUUUUAAUAAUUGAUUAAUCGGACGAGAAUAAAGAUAGAGUCCCAUUAUACAUGUUAAUAUCGACAACAAUGAAAUUUAUAGUAAGAGGAAAAUCCAUUGACUUUAGAAAUCGUGAUGGUUCAAGUCCUUCUAUCCCCAAAACGACCUGGUUGACUCCGUAACCUUCAUUAUUUGUAAAAGUUCUUUACUUGGGAGGUUGGAAUAUAUCUAUUCCGGACAUAUAUGUUUCUGAGCUUUUUGAAAUAAAUAAAACAUGUCUUUUGUGAACAGAGACAUCUUUCUUUGUAUCAUUUUCAAAAAAAGUUAUUAAACUGGUUGGGUACGUAAAAGAUAUUCUUUUUUUUUCCAUCACUUUGACAUGUAGAAAAAAAUAUAUUGUGACAUUUCAUUUCUUAUAGACUUUUCAAAUCGACUGUUUUUAUAUAUCGCAACAGACAAUUCCAAUGUUUAUAGUCGAAAAGAAUAGUCACAAUAGGUUUUUCAAACCAGAAGAUAUCUCAUUGUUUUAAUAUUUCUAACUUUGAAUUUUCUUGUUCUUGAUUCCUAUCCAGAUAGUAAGUUUCAUAAACGGGUCUUUUUUAUACCGUGUUUCAUUAAAGUGGAAUUGAUCCAUUGUUUUUUCCUUUCAAUUCACUCGGAUCUCUUUCAUUUCAUCAAUUUUUUCCGUGUCCACCUUUUCUUCCGAAAAAAGGGAAGGGGAAGGAUCUUCUUCAGUGGAUCCCUCUUGUUCCUGUUUAGUCCCCUUCGUUUCAGAAGUUGUUUCUAUUUCUACAUCUGUUUCUUCCUCACUUCCCCCUUUCACCGCUCCUUAUAUUAGCAUUGUUGUUAGUGGCUUUGAUCUCUUGAGUUGGUGGAAAUCAAACACAAAGAGUUCCCAAUUCUUUCACAAAUAGCCAAGGAUAUCUUUGCAAUCUCCACUUCUACUGUUGCUAGUGAAAAUGCAUUUAGCCUAGGAAGAAGGUUGUGGACCCUUUUAGGGCAUCUUUGACUCCUAGAAUGGUAGAGGCACUAGUGUGUACUAGUCAUUGACUUAGGACAGAUGAAGUAAACUUCUACAAUGAACCAAUGAAGAUAUGCUUCAAUUUUACAAGGAAAUAGAAGUGGAAACAAGUAAUCUAUGCUUAAUUUUUCUAGUAAAUUUGUUAUUAAAUGGUUUUCAACGUUAAUUCUUCUUGCUAUUAAUAUGUUUUCUUUGUUUGUAAUGUAGGCUUGACACAAGCUCAAUCUUCUACAAGUUCAAUGUCUCCUCCAAAAGUUUCGACAUCUCAAACUUGAAGAAUUGAUCAAUGGAGUUUACUUUUUGAAAUUUAGUUCUAAUUUUCAUUUGGUUUGAAACUUUAACUUCUAUUUGUUUUGGUUCAUAACUUUUAUUUGGAUUGUAAGCUUAAUUUUCAUCAUGAAUCUUGAUGCAUCAUUUGAAUUAUUGUGUGUGUGAAUUGUGAAUGAUGAAUAAUAGAUGAAUUUAGGCUACAAUGUAUGAGAUAAAGGUACAAAAAAAAGUUUUGCACUUGAAUUGAGUUAAAAAAAAAAAAAAAAAGAUUUUGUCCCAAAACAAAGUGGCAAUUACCAUUGCCAUACCAUCCCAACCGAACUUCGGUAUACUAAAAGAUUGGUACAGUAAUGGUAAUAGAUUUUGUCACACCGAAAGUUUGGUAUGAUAAUUGGUAUGAGAGUUUUGGUAUGGUAAUUGUACUGAACCCACCUAUAGAUGGAAGUGUUUAAUUUCUGAAGUAAAAUGUGACGUUGAGGGUUUUUCUUCAAUUAGUACUGCUUGUUGCAAGUAGUUCCCGAUGUUUUGGUGUUCUUGAAUUGGACUCCUUUUGAUGGAAGGGAUUCUCUCUAGAUCCCUUCCACCAAAUCCAUCUCAUCAAUCAAUUUGUACAUUUGAAAUUUGAUUCAACGGUUAAGAAUAAGGAACCCCUUUAAAAGUUAUAGUAACUUUAGCCAUUAGAUUAAAUUUCAAGGGCUUGGAUUGAUUGAUGAGGUGGAUUUGGUGGAAGAGAUCCAGAGAAGAUCCCUUUCCUCUUUUGACAGUUAAGUAGUCAAACUUCUACUCAUUUGAGUACUUUAAAUAUAUUCCUGGUUUCUUGAAAUGAUUUUGUUUGGGAUAAAAUCUGAACUUUGGGCCAGAGAGAAAGUCGGCCCAAACCCAAGGCCCAGAGGAAAACUUAGGAGGCAGGAAAGAGGCUUUCGGCUGGGCACAAGUUACAAAGGCCACCUGCUUACCUGCUCAAAGACCACAGGGGGUAGGUUAUUCAGUCACUACACAGCCCAAUAAAGUACUUUAUUGGUGGCAUUCAUGUAAAAAAGCUAGUGAGUCAUCACCAAACCGCAUUCGGGCACCGCUAUUGCUACAGGAACCCAAGCUGAAGUCGUCUAUAAAAGGAGGAAGAGAAGACAGAAUUAGAGACACUCAAACAAACAAACAAAAGCCAAAACUCUGCUCAAGCCAGAUUUGCCUUCAACGAAGCUGUAGUCAGCACAAGCCUUCAUCCCAUUCGAGAUAAACCUUCCCAAACCCCUGUAAUAGCUCUGCUACCUUGUUCAUGGUGGUAUCGAUUCAUUUUGUAUCCUCUUCUCCCCCGUCAACCCCUCUAAAAGCUUUCAGACCUCUGACAGAGCCACAAAGAUAGAUUUUGUAAGAAGUUCAGCCUUGGCCGAUAAGGUUCAAACUUACCCGACUAUCUUUGCUCUGUCUUUGUCUUUUCUUUCUUUUAAAAGCACAAUAACAUGUUAUAUAUUCCCAGUUAUAUACAAGUUAUUUCUAGCAAAGUCAUAAUGAAAAUGAGUCUUCAGCACUUGAAUCCGAUCUGAAUCGCGUCAGAGUUCAAAUCAGAUCUAAGUCUUAAGCCCGGCGGGCAUGUAAUUUAAAGAUCAGUUUAAAAGUCCUUGGCCUCAAGGCAUAAAAAAGAACUCUAUUGUGGACUCAACCCAUCCACGACAAUCCUUGAUAAGCGAGAGAAGUCCGAAGUUACUUGGGGCGCAAGUAAUCAAUCUAUUUCUCCGUUUUGUUGCUAUUAUAUCUUGAUUCGUAGAAAAGGCUUAAGCAUGGAGUGAAUUCUGAUAGAAAGCCUCAAGGCCUACACCUAAGGCCCCACGAAGGCAUCUAUUUAGCUUCAUUUCAUGUUGCGGUCUAGUUGGUCCGAGUAUAAGGAUUAACUCUGAUGGGAAGCCUCAAGGCCUAUACCUAAGGCCCUACAAAAGGCACUCAUUUGGGUUCGUCCUACCUCUUGGAUUCAGAUAAUCAAAGGGUAUAAUAGUGAUAAAACUCUGGCAACCAUAAAAGACCAAAUAUGAUACAUCCAAGCGCUGGUUUAGUUUGACAGGAAGCCUCAAGGCCUAUACCUAAGGCCCCACAAAGGCACCUGUUAUAUCUAACUUGGUUUUCUCGGGCGUAUACAUAUUCAAUCAAAGCUUAACACCCAUUCAACAUCUGCCAUACUGAAGAUGGCAGUGGCACGCCUGAGCACGACAAAGUUAAUCUUGAUUGUGAGCCUUAAGGCCUACACCUAAGGCCCCACAAAGGCACCAUUUCAAAUUAACUCUGUCCUUCUCUUUCAGAACUGCCCGACGAGCCUUGCCCGAAAUGUGUCUUGCCCGACCAAGAUCUGCCCGACAAAGGCUUGCCCGAGCGAGCCCGAGAAGAAAGCAGAAGUACGACAGAUACCAUCAACCGACGCCAUUCUCCCAGGGGAGCUGUGUGCUCGUCCGCCAGGAGAUUCCUGCGACGAACAUAGUUUUGGCACGCCCGGUGGGAUCCUCUGAUCUGAAGAUAAAGAUAAACAUGCCAGAAGAUUUACAGUAUACAUUGUUUCAAAUGCUACAGAGACUGAAUGAAGCCUCCCUAGGCUCUAGAAAUGAGACAGGUUUGGCUCCUCCCAAAGGAGAAAGACACAGGACUACCCAACCAGAUGAGGUAGUCAUAGUCAACCCUGUGUUGCCCUUUUCUGAAGCCCCGGUAAACAUGCUCAACAUGACCUGGGCAGAGAAAGGAAAAGGGAAAAUUAUAAGGGAAGAAGAAGAAGGGAAACUAGCCAAACGACCUACGGAAGGGAUAGGCAAACCAUCCGAGUACCCAAAGGCUGCCAUAAUCAAAGGGAUGGUUAUGUGUAGUAAAUGCCAGUGUGAAUGUGAACUCGAGAUUCCCCCAGCUGGAGUCCUUAUUGAUCACGAGUUAAUUAAAAGAGAAGCCCGCGAAAGGCUUAAGCAGGCAACAAGAAAAAAUACUUCCCGAAGCGUUUUUUCAACGUUUAGGAGGUGAUUCCCAACCCAAGGCGUUGUCAGAAGUAUUUCGAAACUAUGAAGUUUCUGACGAGUUUCGAAACUAUGAAGUUUCUGACGAGGCAGAGGACAUGGAAGCCAAACUCCAAAGAAGUACAGAGCAGCUUCAAAAUGGCCAAAAGGGGAAGGAAGUCAGAAGAACUGAUGGGAUAGCUAAUCCUGUUAAGAAAGCAACUCCUGCAUAUCGUGGGCGGAAAUGGUAUGUAGUUGGAAAAGAUGGGCAGCCCACCAGACCAAUGGGAGCAUCCAUGGUCAGAAGGGUUCAAAGGCAGCACAAAGCCUACAUGAAUUCCCUGAUGACCCCCAUCACCUCUGAAGCCUCAAAAAAUCAAAAGCCAGAGAGGGCAACAUCUGGAAGUAGUAGUCAGCUUCGUUGGCGAAGUAAGAAGGAAGUAGAAAGGGCCAACGGCAAGACGUAGGGUAUGGGGAAUCAUGUGCCACAAAGCCAACAUCCUGGCAAGUAUAGGAUCUUAAGAAGGGCUCAGGAAGAUCUGACUAUGAUGCCAACACCUGGUUGGAGGCCAGGGCCCACCCAUGAGGAAACUGUUGCAUCUGAGAGGAGACCAACCUUUUUGCCUUUGGAUCCGUUUGGUGAAGUUCCAAAGCAAGCGCUGUACGGAGACAUGAAUCAACCACAACAGGAAGGGAUACCAGAGCCCUUACUACCAGCCGAUGCAAUGGCUUGGUUAGACGAGUUCAUGGAUCACAUUGGGAGCAAGAAGGAGGACUUGCUCGAACCCAGCAACUUCAACAUCAACAUGACGUAUGUAUUAUCCGCCAUGUUUGGCGCCAGGCCUGACCAGCCCGCUACCAUGGAAGGUGAUUAUUUAACAACUGAGCCGAUGAUGGCUCACGUCAAUGUGGAGGUAGUUACAGAGGAAGACUCAGGCAAGGUUGAAUCCUCAAAAGUACCUAAAGGUGGUCCCCUACGGAUUUACACAGAUAAAAUGGUGUUCAGCCGCCCAAGUAUUUCGUUGGCCAACCACCUGAAGCCUAUAUACGUUUCAGCUCAUCUGGAAGGUGUACCUUUCAAAAGAAUUUUGAUUGAUGGAGGAGCGGCUGUUAACAUAUUGCCAGCCAAGCAGAUGAAGAGGAUGGGGAGAAGCACUGAAGAUCUUAUUCCCACAAAACCUUACAGUCUCGAGCUUUUCAGGUGCCAUCACCAGGACUCAUGGGAUAUUACCUUUGGAGGUAGAUCUGGGGUCCAAGAAAAUAAUGUUGGCGUUCUUUGUAGUAGACUGCACUUCCACUUACGGGGCCCUACUUGGAAGAGAUUGGAUUCAUCAAAGUUUAGCCAUACCUUCUACUCUUCAUCAACAAGUGGCUGUAUACCACGAGGCAAGUACUGAAGGAUCAAGCUUUUGGGAGUUGGUAGAGGCCGAAUCACGGCCGUUCCUCCCCUCAGCUAAUGUUGCAGAAGCAAAUUUCUACAAUCCCAACGUGGGAAUUUUGAAAUGUUUAGGAGCUGAUGAGAACGGCCGCCCUACCAAGGUGACGGCCCGAAAGCUUCUAGAACAAGGGAUGCUCCUUACCAAGGAGGAGUGGGAGAGACCCUGUCUUAUACCAAACUCUCUAUACCAUCAAUGAUCGAACAAAAGAAGAAAGAUCAGGUCAUGGCAGUCAGAUCCCUGAUUAAAAGACUGUUGGUGUAUGGAAAGGGAAGAAGACAGGAAGAAAAGCUCUUGGAUAAAUAAGAGCAGGAGUGGCAGGGGAAAGUUUCUACCAGCCAGUAGGAAAAUGAGGAAGAAUCUUGCACAGAGGAGUUAGAUAAGGCCAUUUAAAUGGCCGAAUGCGUCUACGAUAUAGACGAGCCAGACGGUCUGCCCGAGAACCCGGAGUUAGUUGAAUUUUUGUGUGCAGAACCUGAUAAGCCACCUCCAGAAGUCCAGGAUCCAUUGGAAGUUAUUGAUCUAGGCACAGAAGAGGAUCCGAGACCAAUUCAAAUCAGCGGUUUAUUAAGGAUUGAGGAUCGGGCCAAGAUUAUCUCUCUUUUGCAAGAAUUCAAAGAUUGUUUUGCUUGGCAUUACACCGAGAUGCCAGGAUUAGACCCAGCCUUGGUGGAACAUAGAAUGCCCAUCAGGGAAGGAUAUAAACCUGUCAAGCAGGCACCACGAAGGAUGUCAAAGGAGAUAGAAGAAAAAGUCAAAGAAGAAAUUGAAAGGCUGGUGAAAGCUGGCUUUAUUAGACCAGCCAAAUAUGUAGAGUGGCUAGCCAACAUUGUACCCGUUUUUAAAAGCUAUAACAAAAGCAGUACGGUGUUGUGUUGAUUAUAGGAAUAUUAAUAGCGCCACACCAAAGGAUGAAUAUCCUAUGCCCAUGGCUGACUUAUCCAUAGAUGCUGUAGCAAAGCAUAAAGUUUUAUCGUUUAUGGAUGGAAAUGCCGGUUACAAUCAAAUAAAGAUGGCGCCAGAGGAUAUUCAUAAGACAGCUUUUAGAUGUCCUGGUCAUGUGGGGGCAUAUGAAUAUCUGGUCAUGCCAUUCGGGCUCAAAAAUGCAGGCGCCACGUAUCAAAGGGCAAUGAAUGCCAUUUUUCAUGAUUUAAUUGGCCAAAGCAUGGAGGUGUAUAUCGAUGACAUUGUGGUGAAAUCUAAGACAGAAGAGCAGCAUCUCGUGGACCUCAAGCAAGCAUUGAUGAGGAUGCGGAUCCACAAGUUGAAGAUGAAUCCAAAGAAAUGCGCUUUUGGAGUAAGAGCGGGCAAUUUUUUGGGAUUCUUGGUGCAUCAGAGAGGUGUGGAGGUGGACAAAAAUAAGUCUCGAGCAAUAUUAGAGUCACUUCCACCUACCAACAAAGUACAGCUUCAGAGAUUGCUAGGUAAAAUCAACUUCUUAAGGAGAUUCAUUGCCAAUUUGGCGGGCAAAAUCCAGCCACUAACUCCGCUACUGAGAUUGAAGGAUAGGGAGAAUUUUGAGUGGGGGCCAACCCACCAGCAGGCAUUUGAUAGCAUCAAGGCUUACUUAACUUCCCCACCAGUGCUGGUGCCACCUCAAAGGGGAAAGCCAUUGAAACUAUAUAUUUCUGCAUCGGAAAGAUCAAUUGGGAGUCUACUAGCCCAGAAUAAUGAAGGAGGAAAAGAGCAGGUUGUGUAUUACCUCAGCAGAAUUCUGACCGAGGUAGAAACAAGAUAUUCUCCGGUGGAAAAACUGUGUUUGGCUCUAUAUUUUACUGCCAGCAAGCUAAGGCAUUACAUGCUACCUUGUCAUGUGCACAUUAUCGCCAAAACAGAUGUGAUAAAGUAUAUGUUGUCAAGACCUAUGCUAGCAGGGAGGAUUGGGAAGUGGAUUCUAGCAUUAUCAGAAUUCAGUUUUCAGUACAUACCCCAGAGGGCAGUCAAAGGCCAGGCAAUUGCUGACUUCCUGACCGAACAUCAGGAGUCUCAAAGCGAGGAAAUCAAUAUCCCGGGAAGUUUAGAAGUUGCUAAUGUAUGGAUCCCACCAAGAAGUGAUGUUUCGGGCAAAGAAGAUUGGAUCCAGCAAGAGAUAAGGAGAGUAGCAGGUCUUUGGAUUACACCUUGGAAGCUAUAUUUCGAUGGAUCCUACACUCAAAAGGCAGCAGGAGCUGGAAUUGUGAUUAUAUAAACCCUCAAGGGGUUUAUCAUUACUAUUCCUUCCUACUUGAUUAUCAAGAAAAUACCAAUAAUCGGGCGGAGUAUGAGGCAUUGAUUAUCGGCCUGGAAAUCCUGAUGGACUUGGGGGCAACUGAAGUAGAGAUCUUUGGUGAUUCAGAGUUAGUGAUAAAUCAACUAAAUGGCGAGUUCAAAUGCAGACAUAUCACUAUGGCAGGGUACUAUAUGGCAGCAACACAACUGCUGAGUUUGUGGGAGUCUGAGAUAUCAGUCAAUCACAUUCCUAGGGGAUCUAACUUGGCAGCCAAUGAAAUGGCGCAACUAGCUUCAGGAGUGCCUAUGCAAGAAAUGAAGUAUGGUGUUGAUGUUGAGAUCCAAACAAGAAACCUUCCCUCUAUCUUAGAUCGGAGGUUCAGUCUGGAUGUAAUGGUUCUAGUGACCGAGGUGGAAGAUUGGAUGACACCUAUUACUCAGUAUCUGAAAGAUCCUUCUUCACCCACAAGUAAGAAGAACAGGCAGCAAGCAACCAAGUAUGUCUUGUGGACAAAAAAUCUGUUGAGAAAGACCCCAGAUGGGUUGCUAUUAAAAUGCUUAGGCCUAGAGGAAUCCAUGAGAGUAAUGGCCGAAGUACAUGAGGGAAUAUGUGGAGCACAUCAAGCGGGAACAAAGAUGAGAUGGCUACUCAGAAGGUAUGGUUAUUUCUGGCCCGACAUGGAAAAAGAUUGUAAGUCCUAUGCCCGCGGAUGUGAAGAAUGUCAGAGACAUGGACCUCUCCAGCACGUACCAUCAGUACCUCUCAAUCCAGUGGUCAAGCCUUGGCCGUUCCGAGGAUGGGCAAUGGACUUCAUCGGGCAGAUUUAUCCGGCCUCUAGUAAGGGACAUACUUUCAUAAUUGUGGCAACGGAUUACUUCACCAAAUGGGUAGAAGCAUCGGCAGUAAAAUCCAUAACUUCAGCCGUGGUCAAGAAUUUUAUUGAGACCAAGAUCCUGCACAGGUAUGGGGUGCCUGAAACUAUAGUAACGGAUCGUGGGCCAUCUUUUAUUUCAAAGGAGGUUGAAGAGUUUGCAAGCAAGUACAAAAUAAAGAUGAUCCAAUCCAGUCCAUACUACCCUCAGUCAAAUGGGCAAGCAGAGGCUAUCAACAAGAUCUUGGUCAACAUUAUUAAAAGGAUGGUGAUUGAUAGUCCAGAAAGGUGGCAUGAGAUGCUAGGGAACACGUUGUGGGCAUACCGGACUUCUAAAAGAGCGGGGACAGGCACGACUCCUUAUGCCUUGACUUUCGGGCAAGAUGCAGUGCUUCCUAUGGAAAUCAACGUCAGUUCCGUAAGAAUUCAAAACCAAUUUGGGUUGCAUAGUGCAGAAUAUAUCGAAGCCAUGUGUCAAGGUAUUGAAGAUCUGGAUGCAGCCCGAAUUGAAGCCUUGAACCAGAUUCAAGAAGGAAAGAUUGCUGUUGCCCGAGCUUAUAACAAAAGGGAGAAGUUAAAGUCUUUCAAGGAAUGAGAUUUAGCGUGGAAAACGGUCCUCCCGCUAGGUGCUCAGCUGCGUGGCUUCGGGAAAUGGAGCCCGACAUGGGAAGGUCCUUUUAUUAUUAGUCGGGUUUUGAACAAAGGAGGAUAUUAUCUAGCAGACCUCGAAGGCAAUGAGCAGAAACACCCUAUUAAUGCAAAAUUCUUGAAGAAAUAUUGUCUUACAUUAUGGGAUGUUAGGGAUUGCUAUAUCGAAGAGGGAGCAGAGUGAGACGGACCUUAGAAAUUCACAUACGGUAUUUUGUUCAUCCAAACAUUUAAAGAAGGCAGAGAUGCAGAAAUAGAUAAAAAUACUUAUUUCAUGUCGACAAAUUGAUGAGAUUACAAGAUACCAAAUCUUAUGUAUUACAUUUGAUCCUAUCUGAAAGUGUUGGUGUCUUCAACUGGUUUCCCGCUAUCUUCUUGGUUGAAACCCAAUCAGGUGAUUGGGUUGUGCGGCCAACAUGAGCUUGGUAGAGGACCCUCCCACAAGAUCUUCACCAUGUAUGAUGAUGAAGCCCGACUUAUCACCACAAGUUGUGGGAAGAUCAGUCAUCAAGAGGAGACCGCCUGACCAAGGGUGUUGGAGGUAGAGGGGUGAUCGACCAAAGGUGUUGGAGGUAGCAAUCAUCAGGUGAAAACUUUCUUUUUUUUCUCACGAAAGGGGAGUUUCAGGAAACUCCACUCAAAACCUGAGGAACCCAUUUCUCAGUGGGGAGACGGAAGGAUUCAAGGUGGAUGAAGGGUGAAGACCAAAAUGAAGAAGAUGUGAUGAUUUGAAAAGGGUUUCCAAAGCCAGAAUUUAUAGAGAACCAGAAGGCAGUUUAAAGGUCGCAAGAAGCUCAAAGGGCACGCAUGUUGUUAUUCAUUUAAUGUUGGCGCUUGGGAUCCCAACCUUAACAUCAAUUGAAGGGGGCACUGUUUGGGAUAAAAUCUGAACUUUGGGCCAGAGAGAAAGUCGGCCCAAACCCAAGGCCCAGAGGAAAACUUAGGAGGCAGGAAAGAGGCUUUCGGCUGGGCACAAGUUACAAAGGCCACCUGCUUACCUGCUCAAAGACCACAGGGGGUAGGUUAUUCAGUCACUACACAGCCCAAUAAAGUACUUUAUUGGUGGCAUUCAUGUAAAAAAGCUAGUGAGUCAUCACCAAACCGCAUUCGGGCACCGCUAUUGCUAUAGGAACCCAAGCUGAAGUCGUCUAUAAAAGGAGGAAGAGAAGACAGAAUUAGAGACACUCAAACAAACAAACAAAAGCCAAAACUCUGCUCAAGCCAGAUUUGCCUUCAACGAAGCUGUAGUCAGCACAAGCCUUCAUCCCAUUCGGGAUAAACCUUCCCAAACCCCUGUAAUAGCUCUGCUACCUUGUUCAUGGUGGUAUCGAUUCAUUUUGUAUCCUCUUCUCCCCCGUCAACCCCUCUAAAAGCUUUCAGACAUCUGACAGAGCCACAAAGAUAGAUUUUGUAAGAAGUUCAGCCUUGGCCGAUAAGGUUCAAACUUACCCGACUAUCUUUGCUCUGUCUUUGUCUUUUCUUUCUUUUAAAAGCACAAUAACAUGUUAUAUAUUCCCAGUUAUAUACAAGUUAUUUCUAGCAAAGUCAUAAUGAAAAUGAGUCUUCAGCACUUGAAUCCGAUCUGAAUCGCGUCAGAGUUCAAAUCAGAUCUAAGUCUUAAGCCCGGCGGGCAUGUAAUUUAAAGAUCAGUUUAAAAGUCCUUGGCCUCAAGGCAUAAAAAAGAACUCUAUGUGGACUCAACCCAUCCACGACAAUCCUUGAUAAGCGAGAAGUCCGAAGUUACUUGGGGCGCAAGUAAUCAAUCUAUUUCUCCGUUUUGUUGCUAUUAUAUCUUGAUUCGUAGAAAAGGCUUAAGCAUGGAGUGAAUUCUGAUAGAAAGCCUCAAGGCCUACACCUAAGGCCCCACGAAGGCAUCUAUUUAGCUUCAUUUCAUGUUGCGGUCUAGUUGGUCCGAGUAUAAGGAUUAACUCUGAUGGGAAGCCUCAAGGCCUAUACCUAAGGCCCUACAAAGGCACUCAUUUGGGUUCGUCCUACCUCUUGGAUUCAGAUAAUCAAAGGUAUAAUAGUGAUAAAACUCUGGCAACCAUAAAAGACCAAAUAUGAUACAUCCAAGCGCUGGUUUAGUUUGACAGGAAGCCUCAAGGCCUAUACCUAAGGCCCCACAAAGGCACCUGUUAUAUCUAACUUGGUUUCUCGGGCGUAUACAUAUUCAAUCAAAGCUUAACACCCAUUCAACAUCUGCCAUACUGAAGAUGGCAGUGGCACGCCUGAGCACGACAAAGUUAAUCUUGAUUGUGAGCCUUAAGGCCUACACCUAAGGCCCCACAAAGGCACCCUUUCAAAUUAACUCUGUCCUUCUCUUUCAGAACUGCCCGACGAGCCUUGCCCGAAGUGUGUCUUGCCCGACCAAGAUCUGCCCGACAAAGGCUUGCCCGAGCGAGCCCGAGAAGAAAGCAGAAGUACGACAUAUACCCUCAACCGACGCCAUUCUCCCAGGGGAGCUGUGUGCUCGUCCGCCAGGAGAUUCCUGCGACGAACAGAUUUAUACUCGUAAUGUAUGAUUAUCUUAUACCCAUGGCUAUAUACGUUGUAGUGACCUCGAUGUGCCUCGACUCUUCUGAGUAUCAACAAAGAUUAUGUCAUGUCAGUUACAAGUGAAAAGUAUCUCGAGGAUUCGCCUCUUUAAAACAAAGUUUCAAUUAUCGAAAAGGUUGCUAGCAAGCAACGCAAGUUUACAUCCGACAUGUAUGUUAUCACUUGUAGAAAACUUCAAACAUGAAUAUGAAUGUUUGCAAACGUACAUUUAAGGAAUUAAACACUUAUGAUUAAAAUUAAAAACCGUAAUUAAGCACUUAAUAAACAAAAGAAAUUAUUUACAAACUACAAAUCCGAUAAGACUUAAAUCUCAAAAUUCCAAGUACAAUCUAAUCAUAAUUUGUAUGCCUACAACUUAAUAUAUCACAAAAUAUAUUUACUUCUUGAUGCCAUCUGCAUGAAUUACAGCUACUGAAUUUAUCAUGGUCAUCGAAAUCCCAUCCUUGUUUGAUUGUGUACGGACCUUGUGGAUCUCCACAGUCGUUGCAUGCUUUCAUGGCAGCGUUCUCAUCGUGCGCUUCUACAAUUCUACCUAUUACUUCCCUAUUAACCCACAUUGUGUUCCAAAUCAAUUCCUUAAUCCUCUCUCGGCAUUCUGUCACGCUUAACCCUCUCGAUUUGUGGCAGUUGAGUGAGUACAGAAGCUCGAGUCCUUUCUGCCUUGAAUCGCCCCCGCAACACACCAAGAUCGCUCCGUACACGUAUGUUGCUUCUACGUGACCCUUUGAGGCCGCCCUCUUCAGAGACUCGAUCCCCGCAGGUUCUAUCCUCUUGCUUGUGAAGAGGUCGCACAUCCCUUGCCUGUACAAGGCCUCCGCAUUGCCAAGAUCCCUGCACCGCUUCAGAAACCUCGUGCGUUUUUCACUUGCGCGCCAAGAAACCAGCGGGAACUUGCUAAUGUCGACAUGCUCGAAUAUGUGAUCAUCUUGAGCACUUUCGUUGAAAUUCUUGCAACUUAACUUGGCUGAAUAAAGAUCAUCAAAAGAGCGUGAAGCGACCCUUGCGAGUACUUGGACCAGAACCUCGUUCGGAAGAGAUUGUAUGGACAAUGAGGCGUUUCGAGGUUUCUUCUUCUUCUUGAUCUUGUGAUAGGCGUUGUUGACGAUGCCUGAAAUAAGAACAAAAGACCGAACCAUGGAGAACUUGGGAAGGAGAAGACGAAAUCAGUUUGCUUUGCUGCCGGUACAAGAAGCAAUUAUAUAAUGUUAAGCGCGAUUAUAUAUAGUCAAACAGAUGCGGUCUUCAUCCCUGUAGGAAGAGGACAAGAAACAACCGAAGCCAAACCGGAAUUGGAUUUGUUACUAAUAUUACUUGGAUUUGUUAUUAACAACCGGUUAACUUGUCUAAAAAGGGAUUUAGAUUUCUUUCAUGCUAAUACAGAAUCUUUUGCCCUACUACUAACUAACUAAGAAAAAUUACUGCAUAGCGAAGUAUGUUGUAUAUGGCAAAAAAGAAAUACGGGGUCGGAUUUCAACAUUAUAGUGUUUGGAUGCUCAAUAUCGCAAAAUAUUUCAAAUUCAAGUCGCUGUGAACCAAUAUGAAUUAAUGGGCUAAACUGCGUCACACUUCAACACCAACAUACUUUACAAGUAGAGUUGUAAACGGGUCGGGUUUAUUGGGUUUGGGUCGGGUUGAACCCGACCCAUUAAGCUAACGGGUCAUCUGAACCCAACCCGUUAAGCUUAACGGGUCACCCAAACCCAACCUGUUAAGUUAACAUGUCACCCGUUUCAACCCGUUUCACCCGUUAACCUUUUUUUUUUUUUUUUUACACAUUUCAUCCAAAUCAAUUACACCCGUUCUUAGCAUCCUAGUGCUUGUGCUAGCCACCUCCUUCCUUCAUUCGGUUUGUGUGCAUAUGCAAGUCAUUGAGUGAUUUGAUGAACACCUGGAGCUUUAUUACGAUGCACAAGAAUACAAACAAUAAUUAAACGUUCCAUCGAAAAAUUGAUAAAUAAAUUCGAAUGCCACUUAUAAUAGUUUCAUUCUCCACACACACAAAAGGUCCUAUACCAAAAUUACAUUUUAUUUUGGAACCUGGAAAACCAACUCCCUUUCAAUAUUUCAGAAAAAUUGGGAAAAUUCAUACUUCGAAACUAAAACGAACCCAAAUCGAAACAUUUAUGGCUAACAUUUUGACAAAUUCAAAGCGAGCAGUUGGGAAGGGGAAAGAAGCUCCCUUUAAGCUCAUACAUAACAAAUGAGACUGCAAUUUAACAUAUUUACGACAAAACAAAUCAACCCGUAUUAGCAAAUAAUGGAACCUCAUUGAUUCAUACGCAAAAUGGCCUACAAAAUCCAGAAAACAAUAAGGGUCUACCGAAAAUUGCAACAAUCUUCCAUAAGAACUCUAAAGCAAAGAAAUGAGAGAUAGAGAGAGACUUACCUGAUAUUAGAAAUAACAUGAACUGAUUAGCAGAAACGUCGAAGAUGAAGGUUUUGUAGGGAGAGGGAGAGAGAGAGAGAGGAGCGAGAGAGAGGUGGGGAAGAAAUGGAAAAGGAGCCAUGGGGUUAAAGUUUUGAAGAACGUUGGGAGGAAUUGCCAGUACCGACGGCAAUGGCAACACUUGCGGAGAGCAAAGCCGUGUGACGACGGUGCGAGAGAGAGAGACGUGAGGAACCUGAGGGUUUUCUAUUAGAACAGUUGAAAUUACACAAAAGUCCUCCAUAACGGGUCUUAACGGGUUUCGCGGGUUCACCCAAAAUGACCUGUUAUUUAACGGGUUGACCCGUUAACCACCCGACCCGUUUAUCACCCACCCGAAUGCUAAUUUUAACGGGUUGGGUCGGGUCGGGUUAACGAGUCGGGUGAAAAAUGCCAGGUCUAUUUAUAAGUAAUAGACUUUUAUAGAUGUAUCGAGUUAGCUAAAAGGUAUAUAAAAAAGAAUUAGUUUAAAAAAAUAACUACACGUUAAUCUUGUAAGCAAAGCUUGUCUAAUUAUUUUGUGUUGAUCGACCUUUGAUAUGACAAAUACAUAUAAAAAUAAACAGAAAAGGCUAACAAAUUGUAAAACCUUUUGAAAUAGAUAAAAUUCAUACAUAAAAUAAUUCAAAAACUGAAACAUCCAAUGAGUUGCCUUGGAAAAGAAUUAAAGGUACCAUUAACGUAAGUAAUUAUUGUCAAGGUAAAAUUUAGUUAUUUAGGAAAUAAAUGUAAUAGCUAGUGACGUAAAUAAAUAAAAAAGAUACAUGAGCUAAUGGUGAGAUGCAUCUAAAAUAGAUAGAUUUUUUUUUUUUUUUUGAUCAAAAGAUGGAAAUUUGUUAAAUUUAAGUGCGAACAGUUACAUUUGCAUUUUCUUUUAAAAUAUUAAAAAAAAACUUCAAACCUAACUCAUUUCAAUCAAAACUCCCGCCAUACUUAGCUAUGUGUGCAUCCACCAAAUGAGAUGCACGAUUGCAUGGCCAAGCGUAAAGCAAAACUUCACCAACUAGAACAAGCUUGUCAUCCUCCAAAUAUCGUGGAAAUAAAGAUGAAGUGCCAUAUCAGCCCUGAGCUCCUUGUUAAUCAUUUGGAUCAACCCCUUUUGAGUCCGCCAUAACAUCACUAGCAAUAAUAAUUAAUCUCCAUCCCUUGCCUAAUCGCCUCAGCCUCCGCCAUGAUAACAGUACCAAAACAUGGCAGCGGCGGCGGCUCAGUUUCCAAGUCGGCAUGAAGCUCCAAUCCACCGCCACAUUGCUAUCCUUAUCUAAAGUCAGUUGCUUUUCACUUCACACUCUUCAAUCCUUUCCUUUCUGGUCUGUUUGUUUCCUGAGAAAAACCUGCAAGAAAAUAAAUGCAAUCCCUAAUUGGAUUCCAGCUUGCUUUGCCGUUUGAAAGGGCGAUGAUGGACGAGCGCUUUGGUAGUAUUCAGGCGUCAUCGCCGUUGCCGAUUCCGGCAUCAAAUUCGUAGCCGAAGAUGAGCGGUCCAACCGUCCAAAGACGGCAUAGUAAGUAAUCAAAUUGUUGAUAAGUGGAUAUUAUUGUUCUUUAAUCUUCAAAUGUUUGCUAAGAAAAUAAAAAAUUCAUGUUUUUUUAUUGGUGUUUCACUCAAAUUAGGUUUUCCACUACGGUUUCGUUGAGAAUUCCGGCGAGGAAGCAGAGGCGAAAUUCGAGAAAGGGAAAGAGGGUGGUGUUGUGUGUGGAUGAGUCUAGCACAAGCUGAUUACGCAUAUACUCGAAGAAAUCGACUCAUUUGAUUGUUUAAGUUUAUCUUUUAAGUUGCUGUGCUUGUUCUUUGAUUAAACUAUUAUUGUACGACCAAUUCCAAGUUCGAUUUUCGGCCAAAAAACUCCGAAGCUCAUUUGCUUACUCGUUGUUUCAUAUUUCAUAUUUUGAUGAUUCUGGAAUUGUUCUUGUGCAGGCUUCGCUCGGCCGGGCGUUUGCUGGAUACAUACAUGUAUGGGGUAUGACUUAUUUCUGCUUUAUUGCUUUAAAGCAAGGUUAGAAAGUGUAGGCAUCUUUCUUGUUGCAAAAUCUUCUGUUAUUAUCAGGGAACUAAACGAUUAGUCGACAUUGCAAGAACCUUCUUUUUAUUUGUGUCCUCAAUCCUCCUUCCUUGGCGAUUCAGUUUCUUUGUUAUGCAAUUUAUAACUAAGAAGUUCCUAGUUGUUUCAAAAUAAAAUAAAACGGAAAAGCACGAUCACUCUCAAUUUAGAUAUGGUACAAGUGAGCUGUCCAAGAAAUUUUCCACAUAACAGCACAACAAUGAUCCGCCCUUUUGAUUGUAGUAAGUAUAACAGCCCACUCUUACUUCAACUUUCCACGAGUCAACCUAUUUGUGGCAAACAGCACAAUGAUCGUUCCCCUUGAGCUUUAAAGUGAAAACUUAAUACCAUUUCUGUAAGUUAACACUAGAAACUUUUAUAUUGUUGAUGCGUGAAUUUGGAUCGAUAUAUCAUAUAUUUAGACGGCCAAAUAACAGUCACACAUGUAAACACAAGGAUUUGAGUGUAGCCUAGCCCACACCCACCGAAUUGGCUUGGGCAGCAGCUGCCUUAGUAGACCUUCAAACCUUCUCCAUAAAGUCUCCGGUAUGUUAUGUGGUCCUUGUGGAAAGGGUUGUGUCUCCCGAAAUAAGCCACCAAAUAGAUAAGCCAUACAAAAGAACCAGCAGUGGCAUAAGUGGUUACACAUGCUUCAGAUUGGAGCAACAUAUCCUUCACCAGUUUUUCUCAAAUUCAUAUGAGUUCAUUACCGGCCUUAGUAUUCUGAGAUGUGAACAAUUUUUGCUCUUUUAUAGACAUGAUGUUGUUGUUCGCAUAUCCUUAUGAUUUAGUACUUAUAAAUUUAUAAUGUACUUAUUUCCAGGCCAUAUGUGCAAAUAUAAAAGCACGGUUCCACAAAAAGAUAUAGCAAGUAAGCAAAAGGAGUUGGACGUACAAGCUAAUGCAUUAAUAUCAAGAGGAGGAAAAGUGAGUUGCAAUAUUUAUCUGAUCUGAAGUUGCAUGCUUGAUAUGGUAUGUUAGAUCUAAUACGUUACCAUAUUUUUCUUAGGUUUCUGCUGCCUUGUUACCAUUUGAAGAAGCGUGUAAGCCGUGUGGUGAUUGCCUUCCCGAUUAUAUUGCAAAGGUUAUUCUGUACCUGUUCAAAAUACCUUCUCAUAUCGGACCCUUAAAAUUUUAGUGCUUAAAAUAGUCCAGUACUAACUAUGAACCACAAUUAUUUUAUUUAUUUAUUUGUAAGUUAAAUAUUUUAAAUUUAUCUCUCGCCAAUACGAGUUUUAACCAAAUUAUUAUGACUGACUCAUUACUUAAUAUAAAUAUCUCGUUGUAUUCAAUGAAUAAAUAAAGGAUCUUUGACACAUCUUACAGACCAUGAAAGAAUACAAAGCAAAUUAAGCGAGUAGGCGUUGCCCCUUCCUCUCUUAGUCCAGUCAACAAGGCAUCCAUCGAAGCCAAGAAUGCUACAUAUUUAUGCCAAAUGAAAUUCCACAUCACUUCCAACCUUUUAGAUCAAUCUUUUUCAUCUGCAAGAUAUUUGUGGAACAUAUAGUUAUUUUGAAUAUUUUGGAUUAAUCUAGCUCUUUUAUGUACAAUAUUAUAAUAUUAUGGGAAGGAGGAAUUAACAACGAUGUCAUACAUGUGCAUGGACUUGAACUUGCUGAAAUCCUUGGGGAGAGAGAUGAGAUGGACGGUGGAUCGUUUGUGGAACUGAAGAAGGUCCGGAUCGUCGUAGUAUCGCUCCCAACCGAGCGUGGACAGCUUGCAUUCGAGCACGGCGUAAGAACUGAUGACCUCGUCAGUUGGAGUGUGGACGAGCACCUUACGCGCCCGGGCGUUGGAGCCUUGCAAGGAAUUCGCCCCGUCCACCAACCGGACGACGCCAUUAUUGAAAACCCAAACCCCAGACAUGUUUGGUGAUCAGAAGGUUAAACGACUAAGUAGGCAAAAGCUCAUAGGGAGGAGUGAGAAUAUGUUGUUUGUAUGAGUUUGGGAUGUAGAGUAUGUGUAUUUAUAGGUAAAAUGAAGUGUCGUGAGGUUAAAUUUUGGAGAGAUGAAAUUAUAUAUGGGCAUGUUUGGAUGUGGGUAUAGUAGUGUAGGCUCCACUUGAUUGUGGGGGAGUCUUUGUAAGGGAACCGGAUUCCCUCCGGAUCCAAAGGAACUGAGCUCAAUAAUCAAAUGAUCCGGGCUAUUAAAAAUUCAUUCAACGGCUACAAUUAUUAUAACUUUUAGUGGACCCUCUGUUUGUAACUGUUGAAUCAAAUUUUAAUGGCCCGGAUCAUUUGAUGAGUGAGCUCAAUUCCUUUGGAUCGGUUCCCUUUGUAAGGAUACAAUAAGGAUCAUGGUGUUUGGUACAUGCAGCCAUGGACCAGUAGCAAUCACCUAUCUAAGCGUGGGCAUUUCAUAUAUCCGAUAGGAGAAUCCUUGUGUUUUAUUUCUUUAAUUUUUUUUCCUCCCUAUGGCUUUAACCCCACAUUGGGAAUCUUUGUUUUGCUUGUGGAAAAAUAUUAGGAUGGAGACUUAUUCUCGAGAAAGCUUAUUAGCAAGCUAUACCGAUAUAAUAGAAAAUGAUCAUGAUUUGAACAUUUUGGCUUUGUGGGCAUAAAUACAUGGAGAUAUCAAUAUUUGUAUUAAAUACCAAGUUGAGCAUAUGUUUUAAGAAUGUUGUUCCAGACCGCCUUGCCAAUUUGAGUUAUAAUAUGAAUCUUGGAUGCAAUUAUUUUGAAAAUUCAUGUAAAUGAUUUGGACGCAUUUAUUUGAUUAUAUGAUCGAAGUCUCUAGGACUCGAAUUGUUUGUAAUAAUUUAUUGAGUUAGUUUUGGGUUAUAUACCACCUUAUGUUGCCAAAAAAAAAAAAACGUGUUUGUACCAUACUUGAUCAAUCCCGAAACUACUGAGCACCGGUCAAUGUUAUACCGUCAAGGACCCAGAAGAGUUUCCCUCCAACUAGGAGGUCAAUCACAGCGCGACACGUGUCGACAUCAGAAGCCAAUUACAACACGACACGUGUCAAUGUCAGGAUGAAACUAAAAACUCUCUUCUAUAAAUAGAGAUCAUUCUCUUACAAUAUUGCUUAAUGUCAUUUGUACUAAAUCAUUCACUAGUACUCACUAAAGGAGAGCUUGAACUUAUGUACUUGUGCAAACCCUUCACAAUUAAUGAGAACUCCUCUACUCUGUGGACGUAGCCAAUCUGGGUACAUCUUGUGUUUGCUUCCCUGUCCCUAUCCAUUUACAUAUUUAUCCACACCAGUGACCGGAGCAAUCUAGCGAAGGUCACAAACUUAACAUUUUCUGUUGUACUAAAAUUCUCGCUAAUUUUGUGCAUCAACACAUUGAAACAAAAAAAAAAAACAAACCUAUAACUAAAUGAAGGACAUGGAAGAUUACCAUCUUAUCCUCGAGAGCAUAUUUUUUUUUUCGAUUUUAUAAGGUCCCUUAUAGUCCAUAGUUGAUUAUGAGGGUUUAGGGUUUUAGAAGUUGCAUCAUUUGUGUUUAGGGUUUAGAAUGUUCUUAGGAGGACCUUAGGGCUUGGGGUGUAUGUCUCAGGUUUUGGGCGGAGCCCAAAAUCUAAGAACUAGACUCUACGCCCUAAGAGAUCAACGUAGUCAAAAUUUUUUUCCGCUUAUGCAUGCAUAUUUGUCCGAACUCAUUGGGAAGGUUAAUGGCUAUGGCCUUAUGAUGGUAGGGUUGGACAGUAUUGUCAAUUACACUAGCAAAUUUAGUUUGACUUUUCAACUAGUACGUAAACUGAAAAUACGGUUUUCUAGCUUAAAAUUCUUUUGAAUUUUGUAUUUAAACUAAAAGCUUCUUAUUUUGUACGGGGAUCGGCUAAACGCGAUUGGAUGUUGAUGAGUUUUGAGGGAGAGUUCACGCAUGGUGUUAUAUUCACGUGGCUAUGUAAGCUACCUCAUAUAUCUUUAAGUGGAAUAUUUUGAAUUUAGGUAUCAAAUUCACUUUGUGACACUUAUAUUCCAUUUUCAAAGACAUUGAAUGAUUUGAUGCUUUCUUGUCAAAUUUGUGUACCUGAUUGGUAAUUUGGAUUAUUGCAUAUUAAUCGGUCAGUUCAUAGUCUAACAAGAUAAACAUCUAACUAAUGUUAUUAUAGACAAUACAAUAAAAGUAUAUAUUUAUAGUUGAACUGAAUUGUCACAUCCAUAUACUUGAAAGGUUUGAUUUUAUAUACGUAUUUGAAAUAUCACCUCAGAUAGAAUAAUAGAGGGAAGUGUCUCUCGGUUCAAUAUAUUGGAGUUGGAUGACCAUGGAUCAAAACUUCUUUAAGAGGAAGAAUUUGAGAUGCUCAAGGCAUUGUGUCUUUUUCCAAAUAUGUGAAUGGUCGUGGCAAAGAUAUGAGGUGAAGGAUGGGACAAAAUGAAAAGGAUACUAAAUUCUAGUUGUUGGAGAGAGGGAUAUUUGGGAGUACCAUGGUGAUUCACUUUCUGUAGAAAGAUGACCAAUACGAAUCCCCCCAGCCCCCAAUGCAUGCAGUACACUUAUCUGCCUAACUGUUGACUACUUGCCUCAUUAAUUUGCCUCCAAGUUUUAUGUUAUUCCAUUGAAAAACAUUAAAUAAAGUCCUUAUAUUUACGAUCUUGAUGCAUUGCAAGCAAACUUAAGUGAAAUUAUUACUAGGUUAGCAUUGUGUGUUAGACGAGCCUCUUCUUAGUAGGAAUUCAGUUUUACUGUAGCAAAAACGGGACGAUAGUAUCACUAAAGAAAAAAGGAGACGAAAAAAAAGUAUAUAAGAGGUCAUAUAUAGUAAGUACGUACAUGUUCCCAAUGAUAGUUCCAUCUCUAUUCUAUUUUUGUUACAAUAAACACAAUUCAUGUUGAGAAGUUGAUAUAUAAGCAAGGUUCUAAAAGACGCUAGCCGUUAGUCGGGCGGUGAGCUGGGGCCUAGCGCCUAGGAGGACUAGACGAAUUUAAGUAAAUCUAUUAUAUUUCGUGUAAAUAAGUGUCUGUUUAUACUUAAAAUGUAUAUACUUUCAUUAUAAACUACAAAAUAGAAUGACACAUAUAUUAAGAAGUAUUGGAACAUAAUGAAAACAUGAGGAUGUGUAUUCAUUUAAGUAUUCAACAAGUCUCUUACAACUUAUUGAAAAAAAUAAAAUGCAAAAUGAAAGUUGUCUAUUUUCUGUCUGAGUGAGUCGCAACCUAGGCGGGUGUGGGCAGACAGGUGCUAGGUGGUCUAGGGGGGGCACCUAAGCAGGUCUAGGCACCAUUUCUUAAUUUUCAAACGCUUGGGCAUUAAUCGAGACGGUGGUCAACCGCCUAGCGCCUAGGCAAGGAUUUUUAGAACAAUGUAUAUAAGGUUAGCAUUCUAGAUAUAUGAACAAGUACAAAGAGACACCCCUACAGUUUUUGGCAUUUUCUAUUUUGGCUAGGUACUUAGCUAGGGUUAUUUGUCUUAGGGGACUAACCCAAUAACUUGGAAACUGGAAAUUUCCGAAAAGCUAGGCAGUGAAGAAUCCAUCUGAUUUGGGAAAAAAGUCGGUAAAACUUUCAAAACCUGUUAGCUGAUGGUGAGUAUAUCCAGUGUGUAUUUAAACCGUGCUUGUCAAAAACUCUGGUCUUGUCCUAAUUCUUUCAUCAAAACUGGCAUCAUUAUGCCGUCCACUAUUGACAGCACUGGAGGAUGUCUUUGUUCCGGGAGGAGGAAACGGAGAGUUACUUAACGUGGUUAUAUUAUUCCUUUCGGACCCCUCUGUGGAUGGUUCAAUGCUUGAUAGAAUCCGCUUGAGCUGAGGGCGCUGGCAGAGUAUUCGACCAUUGUUCCAUUUUGGGAAAGAAAAGGAUGCUGGCAUACUAUCCUGCAGAAAUGUAUAAGCAGCCUUUGCAAUCGGUAGUUCUUGUGAUAUGGAGCUUUUCUCCAUCUUCUCUCGUCUGAUCAAAUAAAAAACACAUCACCCGUAGUCAGACAAGGUGAAGUAUGCAAUACCAAUGACAAAGUUACGAAAACCCUAAAUUCGAUUUGUAUUUCCUAAAUAUAGCCUUUCACGUUUUUUUUAUUCUCACCUACCUAGACCAUAUAAAUCCUAGCCAACCCAGACCAUAUAAUCCCUAAGCAAGUUUUGAUCAAGUAGGCUUUUAGAAGAAGAACAUCAGAAAAGAAAUUGUACAAAGGAAAGAGCAGCUUACAAUACGACGACAGUUGCAAGAUGGGGUAGAUCCUCGCCAUUGAGGAACAUCUCAUACAUAUUGUUUAGCCAAACUGACAUUGCUGUAUAUGCACCACCUUGCCACAUCCUGCAAAAUGGUCAACGUCAAGACUGAAAUAAAGCUAAGUAAGAGAAAGAACAUGGCUAGAAAGAGACAAAUUCUCCAAUACCUGUGCACAUCAACAAACGCCACAAGUUUAUUUUUACGAAAAAGUUCAGGAAAAAGUUCUUGCAUGGUGUUAUAUUUGCUUGGCUAUGGAAGCUACCUCAUAUACCUUUAAGUGGAAUAUUUUGAAUUUAGGUAUCAAUUCACUUUGUGACGCUUAUAUUCCAUUUUCAACGAUAUUGAAUGAUUUGAUGCUCUUUUGUCAGACUUGUAUAACCACCGGAUUGGUAAUUUGUAUUAUUGCAUAUUGAUCGAUCAAUUUAUAGUCUAACAAAAUAAAUAUCUAACUAAUGUCAUUAUAGACAAUACAAUAAGAGUAUAUAUUUAUAGUUGAACUGAAUUAUCACAUCCAUAUACAUGAAGGGUCUGAUUUUAUAUACGUAUUUGAAAAAUCAUCUCAAGUAGAAUAAUAGAGGGAAGUGUCUCUCCGUUUCAAUAUAUUGGAGUUGGAUGACCAUGGAUUAAAACUUCUUUAUGAGGAAGAAUUUCAGAUGCUCAAGGCAUUGUGUCUUCCAAAUAUGUGAAUGGUCGUGGCAAAGAUAUGAGCUGUGAAGGAUGGGACCAAAUGAAAACGAUUCUAAAUUCUAGUUGUUGGAGAGAGGUGAUAGAGAUUUUUACCACCCAAACUUAAAUCACACAUUGUUCUCAAGGUGUGAAAAUAGGAGAAAAGUAAAAAUAAACUAAAACAUCAAAAUAAAAAUAAACAACCACCUUAUAUUACAUAAAAAAAUAGUCAUUACUGACGAAGAAGCACAUAUUUUAUGGUUGCAAAAGUGCAUUUCCAACGAAACUUGAGCAUUUCCGUUUUAAAAAACACAUUUUGAGACCAUAAAAUAUGGGUCGUCGGAAACAUGCCAUGAAACAAAUUUUUAUUACCAACUCCCAUAAUGCCUUUGGAAAAAGGCUCAAGUUACGUCCGAAAUGCACUUUUGUUUGGCGGGAAAAAUUGGCUCCAGUUGUAUUAAUGACGAGUAAAGUUCUUAUCAGAAAUAGAAUGAUUAUUUCUGAAGGUUCAUGUUGACAAAAUUGAUUUAGUAUUUUCGAGGGAAAAAAAGUCUUCCCGGUAAUGUUUUAAUGUUUUGAGGGAAAAAAGUCAUUUUGGUAAUGCUUUUAUAUUUUUGAGGGUGAUUAGUUGUUGUCGGAAGUAAUCAUAUUUUUUCUGACAAAUUUUUUUCAACAAACACUUGGAGUUUAUUUUAUACUUCCAUUAAGUAGAACAAAAUAUCCACUAGUGCAAAUAUUUUUAAUUGAAGAUUGAAUUCGUUCAUUGUACUCUUAUAGGGUUGAGGAGUGUAUUUGUAAAAAAUCAUCAAAAUACGAGUUAAAAUAACCGUUAAAUCGUGAGUUUUCGUUUAUAACCGUCGAAAGGUUUCGUCUCGUUACCUAAUAUCUGAAUGUCCGAUUUUUGCAAUUUUUUACAUAUGUGAUCUUAGAGCAUUUACAAAUAACUUUGAUGGUUGAAUCGUUGAAACUAGUUUUGUAGAAUGUGUAUUCCUUCAAAACGAUAGAUUCAACAAACACUUGGAGUUUAUUUUAUACUUCCAUUAAGUAGGUAUCCACUUGUGCAAAUAUUUUAAAUUGAAGAUCGAAUUCAUUCAUCAUACUCUUGUAGGGUUGAGGAGUGUAUUUGUAAAAAAUCAUCAAAAUCGGAGUUAAAAUAACUGUUAAAUCGUGAGUUUUUGUUUAUAACCGUUGAAAGGUUUCGUCCCGUUGCCUAAUAUCCAAAUGUCUGUUUUUUGCAAUUUUUUACGUAUGCGAUCUUGGAGCAUAUACAAACGAGUUUGACGGUUAGAUCGUUGGAACUAAUUUUGUAGAAUGUGUUUCCUUCAAAAUGAUAGAUUCAACAAACAUUUUGAGUUUAUUUUAUACUUUCAUUAAGUAGAACAUAAUAUUUUGUGGUAUCCACUAGUGCAAAUAUUUUAAAUUGAAGAUCAAAUUCAUUCAUUGUACUCUUGUAGGGUCGAGCUUGAUAUUACGAGCGAUUAUAUAUAUAUAAAUAUAUAUGUUUUUUUUUUUACAUUCUACAACAAUAGUUAAAUUUUAAUCUAUGGUUUAUGAGAUUAUAGUAACAAAUUUCGGAAUUGACCUCUUCUCAAAAGUUGUCGAAGUUAAUAUUACGAGCGUUUGCAUAUUUUUUUGUACUUCUACAUUAAUUAAAAAACUAUUAAAAUCUUAACUACAAUAAUAGCUAUAAGAUUUAAUCUUAUAUAUGUGAGAUUAAAUCCUUAUCGCUGUUCUAAAAAUCCCCGCCUAGCGCCGCCUAGGCGUUAGACGGCUGGCCACCGCCCCGAUUAAUGCCUAGGCGUUUGAAAAUUAAAAAAGGACGCCUAGACCUGCUAAGGCGUUCGCCUAGACCGCCUAGGCACCCACCUAUUUUGCCCAAACCCGUCUAGGUCACGACUCACUUAAACAAAAAAUAGAUAAUUUUCAUUUUGCAUUUUAUUUUUUUUCAAUAAAUUGUAAGAGAAUUGUUGCAUACUUAAAUGAACACACAUUAUAUCAUUGUUCCACAUAUUUUCAUUAUGUUCAACACUUCAUAAUAUAUGUCACUCUAUUUUGUGGUUUAUGAUGAAAUUAUAUAUAUUUAAAGUAUAUGCAGACACUUAUUUAUAUGAAAUAUAAUAGAUUUACUUAAAUCCACCUAGUCCGCCUAGGCGCUAGGCCCCAGCCCGCCGCCCAACUAGCACCUAGCAUCUGUUAGAACCUUGAUCCUUACCGUUGAAUUUAAUCUAGCAAUUAAAUCAUAAAAGUGUUUUUGUUAUGGUGCCCAAAAACUAAACCAUAUUUCCAAAGAGAACGCCAUUUAGCGCUCUCUCCUCAUUUUCAUUUCUCUCUCACAACUUCUCUGCCUUUCUUUUUUCAGAAACAAAACCCUAGCCUUCAUCCUUCAUUUCUCAAAAUCUCUCGUAGCUUCUCUCUCUCCAUCGCUUUGUCGCAAUCCAUGGUCUCCUCUCCAUGUCGCUUGCUGCCCACCACCGAAAAUUCAAGAACCCAAGAGAUCCAUUCCAACAAAACUCAAAUCCACACCUAAUCCUCAUCUCGCAGACUCACGAGACCACCGUUUUCCGGCCAAUGUUCUAAGGUUGAAUAUGUUUCAUAUUUUUAUCAUUUUUCUUUAUAAAUUUGGAUUUGAAUUUGCAGGUACUUGCCUCUAAUAGCCAUCCACAUGCACAUCUGUACUCCACCACCUAUAAUUUGGGUAAACUUUAGUUCUAACUUUUCUAGAUUGAUAUGUAUUUGUCUCUUCAAAACUGCCAUCAAAAGCUUUGUUUAUGGAGCAAAUUUCCCCAAUUUCGUUGAAAACCUUAUAAAUUCAGCCUUGGUUUUGCCAUUAUUUUCACCUCCGAUGCUCACUCCAUUGAUUCAUCUGUCCAUUGCCCAGCAAGCCCUGGUAAGGGUUUUUAGGAAGGCAGCGUUAGACAACGCAUAUGAAGCAGAAAAAGGUAAUAGUGGCGGAGACGGCUCGGUGUGUGCUUGGGAAAUGAGGCAAGAUUGUGGAGAAGAUUAGCCAGGAGAGUGGAGCCCACUUUAGGAUUUUUCCCAUAGACCAGAUUCCGCCAUGUGCAUCCCCUACAGAUGAGUUGAUUCAGAUAAAGAAUGCUUCUUUUUUUUUCGGUUCAGUUGCUUUCGUUUACUUGCAUUGGAGAUGAUAGAAAUGUUGGUACUUUGUAAUUGUGUGCUUUUUAGGUAGCUUAUUUCAAAGUUAUUGGUUUAGUAUCUUUAUAUAUGCAGAAAUGAAUUUCUUUGAGUGAUUAGACUCGUCAUGUCUGCAUAAUGACUUGGUGUGAUGUGUAAGUCCCACCGAAGUUCUUCUGAAUACAAUGAUGUAUAUUCGUGCUUAGACCUAAAUGUUAGCGAGUGCUCUUCAUAUCUUAUUACAAAUAUGCAUAAAUGAGGAAGACCACAUUAUGAAUUUUCGCUAAAACUACAGAGACAUGAUUUCCAUUACUAGACGUUUUCAUCCAGGCAAAGAUGGUAGGACUUUAACUCAAAACAUGCCCAAGGGCAAAGAAAAGGGUUAAUAAAUACAAACAGGACAAUGAUUGUUAACAUUACGAGGGAAGCAUGCUUCAUCUACUGUGGGGAUGCAAAUAACAUGUUUUGGUUUUGUUGUGCUAGUGCAUUACUCAUGGCUAUAUUCCUGUUUGUUUGAUAUGCAAAUAACAGAAGACUUUUCAAUUGUGAAGAAAGCACUUUUAUUUGUUUCAGGUUGUCUUUAGGAUAACCCUAAGGUAGAUGUAGCUAACUCUGGUGCUACCAAAAUUUUAGGGGGAUCGAGUCACGGAACUGGUAUACCUGCGCAAGUUGACCCUAUUGCUCAUUGGGGCUUUGGGCCUGGCUUUAAUGCAUCAGAUUAUCACUCAAGGAAUUAUUCUUCUAAUCCUGAGCCUGAAAAUAUUGGAAGCGAUAACAUAAUGGCUAUGUUAUGUCAUGUUGAUAAGGUUGGUAGUCUGAUAGAGAAGGGUGGAAGCUCAGAGUACAACACUGGUGAGUACAUGCACGUCGAUUUGGAUGCUCUUCUCGACAUGUCCACUAAUGAGAUCGUCAAGCUCUUCCCCGCCAAAGCUCACAAAAGGUAAUAAACAAAUUUCUCGAUUCGAUUUAUUGGUUUGAUUUUUGGUUGAUUUAUGAAUUGGGUUUGAAUUGGAUAGCAUGUUGGAAUAUGUAAUGCAGUGUGUGGGUUAUAGUAUUAGAAUAUUUAAAGUAUGUGCUAGCUUUGUGGCUGGUUUUGGAUCUCAGCAUGUGUGUGGUUCAGUUUAACCUCUUUGUGAACUUGUGAUUUGGCAUAUACUUUAACUUCUCUGCUAACUUGUGAUUAUGGUUCAGUUUAUGUGAUAUAGUUGUCCUUAUAAUCCUGAAACUGUGAAACAUCAGAAUUGUUAAAUUGUGCAUAUAGUUUUACUUUCCUUAUAUUUUUUAGAUUAUUUGGAUUUAUGAGCAUUCUCUGAUCUUAGGGUGGUAAGAGAAAAAUUGAAGAAUGUAUUGGAGGUGUGUUUAAUUUUCACUUCAACUACUCGCAUUAUUUAUGGUAUAGAUUGGUGGUUGCUAUGCUCACACCUUGAGCUAAAAUUAUGCAAGGCUCUUCAUUAGAGCUUAUGCUUAUUUUUCAGAUUUUCAUUGUUUAGGUUUCUUACUAAUUGACAACUAUAUUGUGCUUGAUAUAAGUUAUCAAUUUUUUUUUGCAGAAUAAAGAUAAUAAUUGUGGAUCAAUGUUGGUAGCACUACAUUCAAACUCCUUGACAGUUGGUUAAAGUGGACAUGAAAAACUAGCAUUAUAAGACAUAUCAUAGGAUUGUAACAAGUACUUGCAAAAAUUUUACAUUAAUAUAACACAAUUCGUUCAAUAAAAAUUGGCAUUGAAAAUAUUAUUAAAUUAAAAAAAAAGUAUUUGUAUCCUUUUAUUUUUGCCGACAAAGUAGGAUCAACGGAAAUGUAUAAUUCCAAAGACUCUUGACCCUCACAAAUAUGUUUGUGCGUAUUUUUGACAGUUCUUAACUGUCAGUAAUCAUAGUUGCGACGAUUGUGCGCUCUUGUAAACAACAUUUUACUGUUGGAAACUCAUUUUUCGCCAUAAUGUUUUGGUCGUAAGAAAAUCAUUGCAAAAAAUAGAUGUCGUCGUUUGGAAAGUAUAUUCAACGACCAUACAAGUAUUUGCGACCACACAUACAUGUCGAAGAUAAAAUAAUUUUGUCAUUUUGAAAAAUCAAUUUCGACUAAAAGCUAACUAGUGACGACAAGCCACAAGCGUCGUAAAUGAACAUUUUCGACGGCUGGUAAAAAAAAAAAGUAUUUCCAAUGAAUCAAUGUGUGACGCCCAGAGAGGGCUUUUUCCCGUCGUAAAUAAGUAUUUGUGAUCGCAAAAUGCCUUUUCCGACGAAUUUUGACCCUCGCAAAUGACCAUUUAUUUUGUAGUAAUUGACUAGAAAAUAAAGGGAAUGAACACACCUGGGUUUAAAGACAGGACCUGGAGCUGAGCAACGGCACCAAUUUCUUGAUAAAGAAAUUGAAUGUCCUACAUUGAAAAUGUAUAAAAAGUAUCAAAAUCUCACAAAAUAACCAAUAAAUUAAUACUAAGAUUAGGGUAAAAUAUAUAGUAUAAUAUGGACUCAUCAAAUACCUCCAAACUUAGCUUUUUGCUUGUCCUCAAGCAAAACAAAACUAAAAAACAAAGAUAAAAACUAGCAAACUUAAAAACUUUAUGGGUAAAUUACACUUUCAUACCUCAGGUUUGGGGUCCAUUUCAACCUCAUACAACAACUUUAAAACAUUUCACUUUCAUACCUCAAGUACUAUUUUAUUUCAAUAUAAUACAUCCGUUAGAUUUUCCAUUCAUUAAUCCGUUAAAUGCUGACGUGGCUGCCACAUUUGUGCCAUGUGGCUGCCAUAUGUUUGCCACGUGGCAAAUAAAAUAUUUUUUUAAAAAACCUGAAUUUUCUCAACAAAAAAAAACCUCAGAUCUGCAAGAAGAAGAAUAAUAGGGAGGAAGAAAGAAAAAGAAAAAAAAAUUGUCCUCCCCCCUCCAGCGACCCAGAAGAAGAAGAAGAAGAAGAAGAGGGAGGAAGAAAAGAAAAAAAAAAAAAUUUGACCCUCCCCCCCCCACCCAGCGACCCAGAAGAAGAAGAGCCCCCCCCCCCAACCCCAACGACAAAGAAGAAGAAGAAGAAGACGAAGAGGGAGGAAGAAAAAGAAAAAAAAAAAUUUGUCCCUAACCCCACCCCCCCCCCCCCCCCCCCCCCCCCCAACCCCAGCGACAAAGAAGAAGAAGAAGAAGAAGAAGAAGAGGAAGAAGAAGAAAAAGAAGAAGAAGAAGAAAAAGAGGGAGGCAGAAAAGAAAAAAAAACCUAACCCCCCCCCCCCCCCAACCCGAGGGAGGCAGAAAAGAAAAAAAAACCUAACCCCCCCCCAACCCCAGCGACAAAGAAGAAAAAAAAAAGAGGGAGGAAGAAAAGAAAAAAAAAAUAAAUAAUAUUUUUUUUGGCCACGUGGCAGACAUUUGGCAGCCACGUCAGCAUUUAACAGAUUAAUAGAUGGAAAAUCUAACGGAUGUAUUAUAUUGAAAUAAAAUAGUACUUGAGGUAUGAAAGUGAAAUGUUUUAUAGUUGUUGUAUGGAGUUGUAAUAGACCUCAAAACCUGAGGGGUUACUGUGUAAUUUACCCAAACUUUAUUAAAACUCAACUAAGACAAAAUUUUUAUCUUCAAGUUGCAAUCAAUAGAAAACGUUAAAAACUAAAACAUCUUUCCAAAAGUUCCAACCAAUCCCACUAUAAAGUCUAAGCCAUUUAGAAACAAUUAGAAAAGAAUUCAUGAACUUCGUUUGGUGUAAAGUGAACUAACAUAGCUAGGGAGAUUCGACUAAAAUCCUUACCUUUCGUCCUCUUUAUUUAAGACUUCACACAUAAUAAUUUGGUAUAUAUAUUAUUAUUUUUUCGUUUUUUUUUCGAUUUUUUUUUAAAUUUUAUUUUUCUAGUAACAGUAGUGAUUUAACCCAUGUAACAAGCUUUAGGUCAAUGACUCCCAAACCACAAAGCUUUAGGGCACUAGGCGUAGAAUUAGUAUAUUAUUUGUCCUUGCUUUGUUUGUAUUGCCGUUUAAUUAGUAUAUGCGGAAAGAGACCCCCCAUCGACACUCCAUAUGCAUAGACAAGGAGAGCAGUUUGUUUCGCACGAACGAGUCAAAAGCGUCACCAUCCUCAUUUGGAUUUCCUGGUUUCAAGUUUCGAUUAAGAGUCGAAAAACUUAUCGGGCAGCUGGAAAUCGCCAAUGCCAUGCCUGUGGCGUGUACUAGGAGUUGUACUUGUGUGGUCCACAGUCCACAUCAGGAAAUGCUUGUAAAGCAUCGCUUCAAGUUUCACAAUCUUCCUGCAUUUUGGAUAAACUUACAAAAUCAUUGGAAAUGUACAAAAAUUUGGAUUACACUUUGUUUUUCAUUUGGGUGCUUAAAACUUUCGUUUUCAUUGACAAGCGAUAUGAUCAUAGAAAUUAUAUAAAUUAUUUUAAAUUACAAGAAUGAAAAUUCGAACUUGAAUAUCGAGACGUAGCACAUUGUUUUAAUUAGCUUGCCUCAACUCGUGUUUACGGUCAAAAAGUUUGUGUUGGUUCUUAUUUUAUUUGGAUUCAACUUUUCUUUUGGGUUAAACGUGGCUUCACGUUAGGGUUUUGACCCAAGUCAAGUCCACUGAAAAACGCGGAAGGUUGAUUGGGGAAGUUUGAAAGCCAUCUCUCAGUCAUUUGCUAUGAACAUCUGAUGACCUAUUGACUCGGCCAAAGUCGAUCAUCAGAUGGAGACAUUGGUCGACAUUAGCCAAGUGAGAAAAAUGAAAAAGCAAAGGACAAAAGUUACUUAUUUUAACAUGUCUUAUCCAAAUUAAUUGGAGUUGCGUUCUUAUUUCUCUGAAUCUAAAUCAAAUUUUUUUUUUCCCCCAGUUUAAAUGAAUUCUUUUUGUUUUGAUGAAAUAGUUUAAAUGAAUUUUAUGUGGACUAUUUUAUCCUUUGCUAACAAAAAAUUAACAUAUAAAUUUUAAAGAGAUUUGUGGUAUGUCCUGACUCUAAAAUGAGGUAGACUCCUCUUCCUUUAAACUUUUAUUAACCAAAACAAAUUAAUAUGAAGAUAAUAGAUUAUUUUCAGAUUAAGACUUUUAAAAGAGCUUUAUCCGCAAAAUUAAAUUAUGAAUUCGAAAAAUUAUAAUAACAUAUUAACAUAACAAAACACACUUGUAAUGUGGAUGUGAUCCGUGGGCUAGGCCAACUAAAACAUUAUAUGUCAAUAACAUGUUACUUACAAAAUGUAAGCUUAAUCAUGUUGGUUUGAGUAAUGUAUUUCUUUUUUUGCACUCAAAUUGGAAUUAUUAUCCUUGUAAUUCAGAUAAAUUUAGUGUAAUUUUUCAUAUAAAAAAAAACUAAACAUGUCACUUAUAGGUAAUGAGAAUUGAAAUUAUUAUGAUUCUUCAGCUUUGUUUUCUAUGAUAUGGGUUUUGAAAUCCUUAAAGUACUAGCUCUUCUUGGGUUUACUACACAUAGAAUUAGGACAAAAAAAUGUGGAUUUUUUUUGCUUAAAAAUCAUAAUCCAAUACAUGAAAUUCAUGAAUCAGAUCACCUAGGAAGUACCUAGUUGAUUAGACUUCUUUUCUUACUUACUUUAUUUCUAAAUUUUACAACUUAUUACUUUUUUCAUUCCUACUAAGUAAACAUGUUACAAGUAGAAAUAUAGUUGUCAAAUUUAUCAUUCCAAAUUACACUUUUGUACAAAGAACAUAUUUUAACACAUAAUUUGGCUAGUUUUGAUGACAUCGUUAAUCGAUGACAUAUACUACUUGUGUCAAAUACAAUAUGAGAAAUUUUAUUUGAACUCAUAUUACCUCUUUCUACACCCAACUUACUUUCUACACUUGUAUUAUUUUUAAUUAAAUACUUAAUAUCUCUUUAAACCCAAAUUUACUACCUAAACUAACCUCACAAACCCAAGUUAAAAUGUAAAUUUAUCUUUACACCCAUUUAGAAAAUAAAAUCUCAAAUUGAAUAAUUUGGUGAAGUUUCUUUAUGGGAAUUAUGAAAGCAUUUUGGAGUUCGACUUCUGUGGACAAGUAGAAUAAUUUGGUGAAGUUUCUACUUGUUUAUGAAUCUUCCAUAUACUAAUAAUAAUUUCUUUUUUAGUUUCCCCUCCAGAUUGUAUGGCCUGUUGUGUUUGUUGAGAAGACUAAGAGCUGGUUUGGUAUUGCUGUGCUUUGAAAAAAAGUUGCUGUGAGAAUAAGCGGCUGUGCUGUGAGAAUAAGCGGAUGUGAAAUAAAUCAGCAGAGUGUUUGGUAAACUUUUUUGUAAAAGUGCUUUUGGAAAAAAAAAAAGCAAUCUGAUAGUGUGUCUUUUCAUUAAAGGAGCACUGUAGCUCCGUGUGCUUUUAAAAAAAGCCAGUUUUCCAAAGCUGCAAAUAGCAGCUUCAGCUUUUUCCUUUGAUUUCAACUUAUUCUCACAGCAGCUUCCAAAAUAAGUUUUUUUUUUCAGUUUACCAAACACCUAAAACCCCCCACAGCUUUUUUUCAUAGGUGCUUUUUUAAGCACCUCACUCCCAAACCACCCCUAAAUGUGCAGCAAUGGCAAAAAAGUUAAAAACAAAGUUCAAAUUAAUUAAAAAUAUAUCCAGAAUGAAUAUUAGGGUUUUUUUUUUUCUUUCUGUCGAAUUUGAAAGAAUAUUAGGUUAAAAGGGUAAAAAUCCUUCAGCCUCCAUCCUCAUCUACUCAAUGUCAUUGCUACUCCUCUAUAAUACUGGACAAGGAUUGUCUGCCCUCCUAGUUGUGGUGCCCUUCCAUGCCCUCCUAUUUUGUGCGGUCACGGUUAAGCCACGUCAACAUUUUAUAUUAAUUUUUUAAUGAGAUAAUAAGACAAAAAAUAAUAAAAAUAUAAAAUAUUAACGUGGCUUAACCGUGACCGCACAAAAUAGGAGGGCAUGGAAGGGCACCACAACUAGGAGGGUAGACAAUCCUUGUCCCUGUAUACUUCUCCAUAUAUAUCUAGUAAAAAUGAGAAAACAGGAGGAAGAAAAUAAUAUUUGCCAAAACUGCAUGAAAGGACGAGAGAAACGUGGAAUUAUAAUAUUUGCCAAAAAUGCAUGACAGAGAUGAGGCAAGUAGUAUAUGCAUAAACCUUCAAGGAAACCAAAUUGGCAGGGGAAACCAAACUGCAUGAAAGAAUGAGCUGAAAUGAAGGUAGGAUAAACAUUGUAUGAUGACAGGAUUUAUUUUUUUGGAGUGGGUUUAUUGAUAAAUAUUAGUUUUAUUGUUAAUUACAUUUGUACUUGUUGGUAAUUAUGCAAUAGGGAAAAAAACAAUUCACAUUUAAAGUUUAAGUUUGAUGUAGAAAGAGGUUAUAUGGCUCCAAUUAAAAUUUCUCAUACAAUAUUAAUAGCACUAUGUGUCAACUUGCCCACAAAAUUCCUCCUCUAGGUGGGAAUUAUUAUUGCUAAUUAUCUGACCUUAUUUGGAAAUAUCUCUGAAUAUAUCCACUAAAAAAACUCUAUAACCAUGUUGCAAAACUCUCAACAAAUCUAAAGACAAAUCUUAACAAUGAAAAUUUUGAAAUUGAUUUUAAAAUAACUAAAAGUGUUUAUUAUGAAAAUAUUUUUGGUAAUUAACCAUCAGUAAAAAUACAAGUGAAUCUUCAUAAAGCACUUGAAGUUCUUCUUGCAAGAAAUCAGAAAGUAUUUAAGUGCUUUAGAAACUCAUAAAUAUUUUCUCUAAAAACGCUUUUAGUAUUUUAAAAACACUUUUAAAAUAUCCCUCUAAAAAAACCACAGCCGAAAUUAAAGUUUUGCAUCAAAGUUUCAUUUGCUUUGUGAAAAAAUCCAAUCAUGUUGUUAUAUUCUUGUUUGCACCAUAGCAAGACAUUUAUACACUGCAAGAUACAGAUCACACACCCCAUUAUUGCCUUCCAAAAAGUCACAUCCCGCAAAUACCCUUUACAACCCCUUACGCGUUUUCUGAAAUCUGGCUUUUUUAUUUUUUUAUCACAAUAAUUGUUGUGGCAUAUAUUCUUAUCAAUAUUGUGGUUGUGUAAAUCCUAAGUAGCGAUAGAAUAUGAAUCUUUUGGGAUCUAGAAGAUCUUUCCCAAUAGACUUUGUAUUAUUUGGAGAACAAGUUUUUCUCCUCCUUAUUACUAUAAAUAAAGGCAUAAGGACUGAGGAAUUAACACACAAUUCCUCAUACCUAUUCUCCACUCUCUUUCUCUCUACGCCGCAACCCUCAGUUAAAGAUAGGUCACAAUACGUUAUCAACACGCUGUGCUAAAAAGAAUUUAUUCGUCUUCAAUGAGGGGAGUAUUACGUUUCAAUUAUUUUAAUUGAUUAAAUUUUGAUUUUAUUGAAUUCAUAUACUUUUAUUGAUUCAAUUUAUUUUUCUUGUGUUAAACGUGAUACAAGUUUUGAAGAUGGAAAGUUGAAACCCGAAGAAAGAACUCCUACAAACCUGUUCACAAUAUUCAUCAGGCAAUCCAGGUUCUUUUAAAACAAUGAUAUUUUUUCAGCUUUGAUUGCAUGAACUUUCACCAUAAUGCAUGACCAAACUUUACGUUUUACGAAUUUUAGAUUCUAAAUCAAUUGUUUAUGCAUUAUAUCCAUAAUAUAUAAUAUAUAAAGCGAGAGCCCCACAUUGGGGUCACAGCUUCGACAAAAAACAAUAUGACAAAAUUGCCCCUCAACCAAAAAAAUCCAAAAGAAGCCCAAUAUAAUAUAUCAAAUAAUGCAUGGGUAAUUUGGUAAUUAUAAAAUAUAAUAUAAAUAUAAGUGGGAAGAGAGAAAAGAAUAAAAAAAAUGGAAGGAUGAGUGAAAGUUGAUAGUGCCCACAUGAAGGAAAAAGAAAAAUAUAAUAAAAAAUAAGAAAAAUCAUGAAUGUUGUGUUUAAAACAUCUUAAGAGGCGUGUAAUGCUGGUUAUAAAAAAAAAGGUCUUUCGGACGCGGAUAAUAAUAUGAUUAAAUAAGUUGUCAAAUGAUUUUUUUUUUAACAAACGAUAUUAUCUACACUAAGGGAAAUGAGGUGGGUUUAACCUCACAAUGUGCUAGCAAUAAUGUGAUUCAAUCAGUUGUUUAUUAAAUAUUAUUUUCUUUAUAAAAAAAGGUCUUUCGCACGGGGAUAUUAAUGUGAUUAAAUUAAUUGUCAAAUGAUUGUUUUUUUUUUUUUAACAAACGAUAUUAUCUACACUAAGGGGAGGGGGUGUGCUUAUCCUUACAAUGGACUAUCAAUAAUGUGAUUCAAUCAAUUGUUUAUUAAAUAUUAUUUUCUCUAUUCUUAAUGUAAAUUAUAUAGAAACCGAUUUUAUUAUGUGAAUUCAGCUGCUUUAAUUGGUUUAUAAGGGGUUUCUUUUAGCAUGAUAUAAAAUUAUUCAUUUACUUCAAAUAUUUGACUUUUCUUUUGUCAAUUUACGCACAUCAAUACAUUUAAAACAUGUAAGUCGUGCGUAGCACGCUGUGAUUCAAAAAAUGCAUUUUGUAAUCGCGUGAGCGCAUGCAUGAAGGCUAGUAUUGCUAUUAUGUGAAUUGAAUAUGUGUGAAUAAGUAAGAAAAAGAAAAAAAGGAAACCCUAGAACUCGACUAAGGCCUAGAAACAUGGAUAUAUAUAUAUAUAUGUUUCAAUUUGGGCCUAAUCUAUGGGUGCCCAGUGCUUGAGCAUUGAGCUCGCGUUGCACCUGUGUCUACACCAUGGCUUGAAGCCCACGACUGCACUAAGUCGCCAAGCAGCUCCUGGCCUCAGCGUACAAACUACGUCGUUCAUGGCGUUUUCAUCCUCUAGCCCCCUGCACCUCGACAUAAUUGAGGACUGCGCCCGCAACCACAACCAUCACCAAAUCUCGGUGAUUGCAGGACAAUGGUAAUGCCAGAAGUUGUCUACCACUGUCAAUCUCGACGAUAGAGAUUGAUUUUCCUAGUCCAAACACUUCGCUAAAUUUCUUUAGACACCCAUUGCGAUUCUUGAAGCUUCCACAGUCUCGUUUUUCGAGAUUCACCAGCAACGACUUCAACCUCUGUGAUCCAUGCUCGUCGCCGUCUUUUAUGAUACCAUCGGCCUACAGUUUUUCAUAGACCUGCUGCAUCAGCAGCCUGCCUAGCAGCCCAUUAUAUGGGCUCAUUCUCCAAUUUUAUUUUAUUUUGGGCUUUCAACCUAUUUUUUUCCAGUUAGACCUGUAAUCCAAUUCGUGUGAAAAAAAUUGUUUUCUCUUGAUUUAUAUAUUUUUGUCUUGUAUAUAUUGCGUUUGUUUACAGGUUUUAUGAGCCUGAAGUUCAUACUUCCGAACCCGAAGUUUCAAAAAAAGUGCCAUAGAAACCUAAAGUUUCUUAACGCGCAACACUCAUGUUGAGACCAUAAAUUCUACAUGCUUAAAUCCGUUUAAACCAAACCAUGUCUUAGAACCUGAAUGUUCUAACUUUCAUGUUUAUGGAAAUUUUAUUUCCUAAAACACCAAUCACAUUCAGCGUAUUGUCGAACCUUAACAAGUUUGAUUUCACUGAUUUGGAAGUUUUGAACAAGAAACUAUUUUAUGUGAAUACAAGACGUGACACCCUGCUUGACUAUUACUAGUUGCGAAAUCAUUAUAGCCAGUUAUGGUGUGGAAGAGCUGAAUAAGUCUCCGCCAUGAUCUUCGUUGGAAUACUUAUGCUUGAAGCAUAUCAAAUGGAAGUACCUCACUGGCGAGGACUCCAUGGCUAUUUGACUCGCUAUGGAUCGUUUCAAAUCAUGCAAAUAUAAGUACUUGCCCGAAGCAAAACAUGAUUGAAACCUUUACGUCCAUGAAUAGGUACAAUUUUGAAGUUUAUAUCCGAUCGAAUUUUGAUUGGAAGAAAAUCUUUCUCGUCCUUUUAUAUCUAAAUUGUUCUUGAAGUAGAAGUAUAGAGAGCGAAAGUUUACCAAAUUCUCGGAUCUGAUUACUACCACACUUGAGAGAAUGGUACCCCAGCAAUUCGGCUAGGAGCUACCAAACGGUAUAGACCCAGUUUCGACUGGAGUUUAUCGAAUGGUGGUGCCCUGCUUUAGUAGGGAUACACUGACAUGCAUGCUCUAUUUCGGCAGAGGUGCACCGAAGGGUAUACUCUGCUUUGGCAGAGGUGCACCGGACGGUAUUGCUCUACUUUGACAGAGGCCUACCAAACAGACCUCUCCAGUUUCGGUUGGAGCCUACCGAACCCAAGUCUGGGUCUGUCUCUCUCUCACAAUCCCAUUUCGAGUUUGUUUUACAAUUUAUGAUAAAAUAGGCCUACCAAGAGGUGGUAUCACGCUCAAAGCAUGAUCAUUGGCACCUAAAACUUCAAGAAUAAGGAAUAAUAUUGUCGAACCUCAACCCUGCAGAAUCUAACUUUGUUUUGAUGAAACAGAUAUUUGGUUAUGCACUUUUCUGUGCUUUUACAAAUUUUAUUGCUGAGUAACAUUGACAUAGUUAAUAUGUGAGACUAAUUUUGCUCCCCCUAACACAUUUGGAAGAGCGAAAUUUGACAUGGAAAGCCUUAUUAGUCGAAUCCCCUUGUAUAUUUGGUUUACUUUAUGAAUAAUUUAUUUUAUUCUCGGAUUUAAGAUUGGUGUUUGGAUGUCACGAUUAUUCUCAAAUAAGAGUUAAUUAACAAAAAAUUACCACAUGUGACUAAUACAAUUAACUCAUGCUUAGGUAUGUUGUGUGGGGAAGUUAGCAGUCUGGUUCUAUGUUAACUUCAUACCUAAUCAUCCUCUGACAACCAUUCAGGCUUAUCCAACCUGAUUGUGGGGCAUAGCACUGCCCUAUAUUGCCUAAUGGUACUAAUUUUACCAUAGGCCAAAUCAGAUAAAUGAUCCUUGUGGUCAUAAGGUAUUCGGAAGAUAGCCUAUGUGCUAAAAAAACUCGGAUUUAAACCCCUGUGGUUUACUCCGUUAGCAAAUUUAGUCCUAAAGUGAUUUUUCCGUUAACUAUCUAUUACUACAUGGGUAAAAUUGUACUUUGACAUGUGCACUUUCUUCUUCCUCGUCUUAAUAUAAUCGAAGCUACAUUUUUCGGGUCUACUCUCCGCCUAGGUAACGAUGGCAUUUGCAGAGUCUGAGACCGAACCCAUGAUUAAGAAAAUAUUUUUUCAUAAUUCAUCAUACAUGUAAAGUUAACGAAAUAACAAAUAUUAACAUACACAAAUGGCAGUGAUCAUACAAAUUACUUAAUCAUCUAAAAAAUUAUCAAAUGGGCAAUCGAACGUAAGGAAGGAUUAACUUACGACAACCUCGGCAUCUUUUGAGGUAAGAACAGCAAGAGCAGCUCUAGGUAUCACUUUCCUCUUGUCAGUUCUCAACUGAUUAGCCCAAAGCCUGUUAUUGAAACUCCCUCUAACCCUCUCCCCCAAAAACCUAGAACCACCAUCGCAGAAACCACUUGGUCUUCUCAAAUGGGUGUUUUUCAAAGCCACAUAGCAAGAAUCCAUUCAUGUUGCUUGCCAACUCUAAUAGAAUUCUAACCGAUCAGAAAUUGAAAACUCAGAUAGCAUUUAAACCAAAAUCCGAGUAAAACCCCAAUCCCAGUAAAAAUGUCAAAGUACAAUUUUACCCAUGUAUUAACAGAUAGUUAAUGGAAAAAUCACUUUUGGACUAAAUUUGCUAACGGAGUACACCACAAGGGUUUAAAUCUGAGUUUUUUUAGCAUAGAGACUAUCUUCCAAAUACCUUAUGAUCACAUGGAUCAUUUAUCCAAUUUGGCAUUUUACCAUAAAGGGAAGCCUUAUACUCACUCGUUCUGGAAGAAUGCGUUUUGAGCUUUAAGGAUAUUCGAGAAUAUUAUUACCAUAUUGAAACCAAUGUAGAAAAUGGAGUAAAAUUCCUUGGCAUAUUACCAUAUUGCACUUCCUACGAAUAUAGCUAGAAACAUAUUUUAGAGAAGAUGGAACACUUAAUAAGUGGAUUACACCCAUUUAGGCCCACUAUAUGGCCGGCCAGAAGCCUGCGAUUCCAAAGGAAUUUUCGCUAUAGAUGCAUGUUUGGGAUAUCUAGGAUGAUCUGUGAUGCGCCGAUUUGGGCAUCCUUUUACCAUAAGUAAAGUCAUCAUACAUGGAAACGUAUCAUGCUUUAGCACCCUCCAUCUUUUCUACAAAUGAUUCAAGGGGACAUUUGUGGACUGAUUCAACCACUAUUCGAACCAUUGAGAUACUUUAUAGUAUUCGUUUAUGCUUAUACACGUUGGUCACACGUGUGGCUAUUGUCCACAAGCUGCAUUCUCCACAUUGGUGGCUCAAAUUUACAAGCUCAGGGCCCACCACCCUGAUUAUCUGAUCAAACCUAUUUGAUUGGCUAAGUUGGAGAAUUUACAUCGAAAAACUUUUGAUGGAUAUUGCAUGUCAGUUGGGUUUUGAAGUUGUACAUAAAGUACCCCAUGUUCAUACCCCAAAUGACCUAGCAGAAGCAUUCAUUAAACGCCUUUAAAUGAUUGCGCAAUCAUUGGUCAUAUGUACCAAGUUCCUGAUCUCUGCUUGGGACUAUGCUAUAUUGAAAGCAACAAUGUUGGUUCGCCUGAGACCCGUUGCGACCUAACCUUAUAAAGUGUGUGUCAGUUGGUUACCAGAUACAAACCCGACAUAUUGCAUCUGCGCGUCUUUGGCUGUGCAGUUUAUAUGCCAUUUUGUGCCGCCCUUACGUACAAAAGGAAAAAAAAAAGGUUUUCAGGGAAAGAUGGAAAUCUAUAUCGGUUAUGAUUCUCCUUCUAUUAUUCGUUACUUAAAACCUUUUGAUAGGCGAUCUCUUUACUGCUCGUUUUGCUGAUUGUCACUUUUAUUAGACAGUCUUCUCGCUGUUAAGGGGAGAUAAGAACAUCAACGUUCCUAAAGAACAAUGUGAAUUAUUGUGGAUGUCCCACUAUGUCUCAUCUCGACCCCAAUCUAGAUCGUCAGAGUAUAAUCAGACACUACAUUUGAUAUAGCAAAAGUGACGAAAUCACAUAUACCAGCUGCAAAUGUGCUUGCAAAGAUAUGUACCAAAUGUAUGAUGAACCUUCGUCCUGAAAGCAGGAACGCCACUAUUGUGGCUAACCCUCAUACAUUGGCGGUUAGCCAAUCAACUUAUCAUACGCUGGCAACGUGGCAGAUCACUCGGUUCGAAGAUUCACUUUCUCAAAAGUGGAGGAACAUGGCAUAAACAAAUCCGUCCCUUGAUCUCUGUCUCAAUCCUUUUCAUCUCAUGAGAUUAAAUACAGAUUACUCUUGAAACCUGAAGUUGUUGGUCCAGUAUACUAGUUUGGAUGAGAUAUGGAAUUGGAAUGAGAUUAUCAUAUAUGAUGUUUCACUUAUAUGGUAACUACCGACAUAAAUGAAAAGCGACAAUAACGAACAACGUUCCGUUGAUUAUUGUCAAUGUAUAACUGAUUGGUUAAUUAAAAGAAUCAAUCUAUGACGAAUGAGAUGAAUGAAAUGGUGCGAUAUGACGCCUUAUGGCGCAAGGUUUCUUUCAUAUGCCAUGUGAUUAAUUGCAGCAUUACAAAUGUGGUUGUAGUAUCUCUAGGAUCCUGAUACAAAACCUACAUGGAGUUUCCAGAUGACUUACAUGUACUAAUUUAAAUAGUUAUAGACCACAAGAACACCCUCUCAGUUCUCUAGAGGCCUUCACUUUGCGGAUGCAGAACUAUUCGGGCGGAUGUGGUAUACUCGUCUAAGCGAAUAUUUGAUCAGUUAGGGAUAUAUGCCCCUGCAUGUACAAAAUCUGAAAUUGCUAGAGUCGAGAAUACCGACUAGCACAUAAAGUCAGACUUUAAGAUGAAUGAUCUUGGGAAAACUCGACAUUACCUUGACCUGAAGUUUCGAGCUAGUUUUGAUGGUAUUCUGGUUCACCACUCGAACUAGACCCAGAUGGUGUUACAUCUGAUUAUACCCUAGUUAUCUGUAUGCUAGAUACAAAUGAGACAUUUAUGGAGGGUAUAAAGCAUAAGGUUCCAUAUUGGAACGUGAGGCAACCAUAUCUAAGUACGAUUGGCAUUUGUUGUACUUAGCUCAAUGCACUAGAUCGGACAUCUUAUGUGCUAAUAAUCUUUUGGCAUAAAGCAGCACUACGCCUACACGCCAUCACCAAUUUGGUGUUAAAGAUGUUUUUCCGUUACUACGGAUUUGAGCUUAUCUAUCCUUAUGCAUCUCAAAAUACAUCACACCCUCUUAAUCUUUAGAAUGAUGCAUACCUUGUGGGAUUCGUUGAAUCAGACCAUUUGUCUGACCGCAUAAGAUACGUUCCCGAAUGGUUAUGUCUUUACCAUUAAAGAACACCAUAAUAUCUUGGAGGUUAAUCAGAUAGACGCAAAACCUUUGAAUCGUUCCAAGACUCACUGUAUCUCAUCACGUGAGAGAUAUGGUCGAGAGCUCUUGUUGAGCAUAUUCAAAAUCUCUGCGAUUUUCAUCUAUCGUUAAGUCCCAAUAACGAUCCAUGAAGACAAAGCCAUAUGUAUUGACCAGAUCAUGAUACAUCUAACAAGUCAACACCAAGGAUAUUGUCUACAUCAGCAUGAGCAUCAGAAGAUUGAAGUCAAGCAGUCUAAUCCCAAACAACCUUGCCGACCUCUACACGAUGUCACAGCCAAAGUCUACCUUCCAGAAGCUUGUCCGAGGAAUUGGUAUGUGUAACUUUCUCACUUGUGAUGCUUAUAGUUUCAUUUGACAGUUUUGUCAAACUCAGGGGGAGUAUCCAGAAUUAUACUCACUUGACCUUAAUGUACUUUUUUUCCUACGAUUAUGAGCAUUUUUCCCAUUGGGUUUUUGCUACCUAACUAGUUUUUGACGAGGCACUCAUCAUGGGUUGGUCAUACCCUUGUGUACAUCAUAUUUGCGUCCCGAAGACGUAUAGUAUUGAUUUAAUGCAAUUUCUCAUUUUUCUCCUUUGACUAUGGGUUUUUGUCCCACCUUUGGUUUUGCCAUAACGAGGUUUUGUGAGUUUUAGUACUCAUGCAUUAUUCCGUUUGUUUUAAGACUCACAUUCGCUACUUGUGCUGACUAGACGAGGCGACUUCAUCAAUUGCUUCUACAUUUGCCUGAAGAUCUGAUGCGCCAUCUACUUGAGUAUUUGCACACACACUCAAGAAGGAGUGUUGUGACAUAUGUUCAUAUCAAUAUUGUGAUUGUGUAAAUCGUAAGUAGAGAUAGAAUAUGAAUUAUUUGGGAUCUAAAAGAUUUUUCCUAAUAGACUUUGUAUUACUUGAAAAAUAAGUUUCUUUCCUCUUUAUUACUAUAAAUAAAAGUACAAAAACUAGAGAAUUAACACAAUUCUUUAAGCCUAUUCUCCAUUCUCUUUCUCUAUAUGCCGCACCUCUCAGUUAAAGAUAGACCACAACAAUAAUAUCAUUAUUUUCUCUAAUUUUCAUCACAAAUGAUCAUCUGGGUUCCAAUUAAAAUACAUGCACAAACAAAUAAUUAAUUAAAUAAAUAAAAAGAGUGGCAAAUUGGUCUUUUAACAUGACAAUAUAACAAUUAUUAAAAUCUCUUCAGGUAUAUAACACAGAGGCAGAUUGUUUGCACUUCUGUUUGGAUGUCUUUCUCAUCCUCUUUUAUUUUAUGUUGUCACGGUUAAGUCAUGUCAACAUUUUAUAUUGAUUUUUUUAUAAAGAUAAUAAGACAAAAAAAAAUAAAAAUAUAAAAUAUUAAUUUAGCUUAACCGUCGCAGCAUAAAUAAAAGAAAAUGAGAAGAGCAUCUAAAUAGGAGCACAGACAAUCCGCCUCUGUAUAACACACAGUCACCAAUUAGACCCAUUAAUUAUACAAUUUUUUAACAAUAAUAACAAAAAAACAGGGGAGGAAAUUAAAUUAAAUUAUAAAAAUAAAAAUUGAAAUUGAAAUUAGCGCCUGCAGCGAGUAACGACGCUACGGCCGAGACGGUAGGGAUUUGCCGGAGACCGAUGUCGAGCCGGGGCCCCAGGUCGGCAGUUGUAGUAGGACGCGCCACGUCGAGAGCAGGGGACAGUGUUCCUACUCAGCGCACCGUAGCUAAUGUAACUCCCCGUGGCUAAGAUGCGCCGGUUGAUCUCCGAGUCCAUUUGCAUCUCCGCAUCCUCGUCCUCGUCAGCUAUCAGUCCACCCGCCGCCGAUCUCGUCGAACCCCAGCUCAGGUCGCCCAGCUGGUGGCCCCCGCUGAAAUCAACGGCCGAAGCUGAAGCAAUCACUACCAAAUGGGCGGCCAGGACUGCGCAGAUGAAGAUGCAGCCAAAGAGUGAUGGAGUUCUUGAGUUUGAGCUUCCCAUUUUUUUUAUUUCGGUUUUUGUCUAAAAUCUCAAGUUUCUGAGAGGCAGUGGUUUUGCAGAGUGGUUUGGGGGUUUAUAAACUUAGUGACCGUUGGAGAGAAAAUGCCACUGGGGUUGGGAGUAAUUACGGGGAAAUGCUACUCGACUGACCGUCUUUAUGGCCGCCCACUAAUCACGCUUCUUUUGACUUUAUUUGUACAUUUAAUUUGGGAAAUUAAUAAAACUGCCAUUUAUAUUCUUCUUUAUUUUUUUUUUAAAUGAAGCAUUAUGUUGAUUAAAUAAACUUAUUCAGAGUUACAUAUAUCUUAGAGGAGGAGCUCUGAACGAGAGUAGAAGGCUCCUCAAUUCAAACUAGAUUAUUGCUACUAAACAAAGCAAACUUAGAAAGAUGGUGGGCAACCCCAUUGCAUAAACGAGAGACAUGAAUAAAUCUCGCCAUAGCAAAAGUGGAAGCUAGCUGCAGCACAUCCUCUGCGAUCAUACCAAUAGCCGAUAAAUUUGUAUAGGUCCCACUAGAGGAUAUUUGUUCCCCCUCCCUUAGCAUUCUUUUUUGCUUGGCCGUGCAAAGAACCGUCUUCUGUUGAUUUCUUUGUCUUCUUCGAGCCGCACCGAUGUAAGAAAAACCUAAUUCUCCUUGUCUUCUUCUUGGGUGGUGCUACCAUGGGACAGCUAUCGGGGUGGUGUGGCACGUCGGCUGGCAGAGGCUAGGAGUAGGCUUGGCAUGGGCCAAGGAGGUGGUGUGGCAGGGACCAUUGCUUGGGCUGCUCGGGUUGGCUAAAGCCAAGGGCAGCUGUGUGGCUGGGGUCGCAGAUCGAGGCAUUGGGGUGCAGUGCUAGGUGAGCCGCAUGGCUCAUGUCUUUUGGGCUUUUAGACAUGACGUGGGCCAGGCCGGUGAUUGAGAGUAAUGAAGAGGUUGCGAACCUCAUGGAUUGUUGGAAUGUUGGGCAUGCAGGUCUUCUGCCUGCUGGUCUGAGAGAAAAAAAUGAGGAAAAAGCCAUCAUAGGUUAAGCUCCUCUACUGAGUAUCGUGCAUGGCGUUGGCUGCUUAGUCCUCUUUGUUAAGAGAAAUGUGGGAUGUUCUCGAGAGAGAAGAUUAAGAGGAUUAAGUGUUGGAAAUGUGCCAUAAAUCCAAUCAUAUGAUGAUACAUUACGGACAUUUCACAUGUUAAACUAAUCUAGUUUAAUAUAAAUGGUAAAGAUUAUUGUUUGAAGUCGUCUCAUAUAAAUGUUAUAUGCUUAAACGAUAAGUCCAAGGAAUAUGUAACUGGGAGAAUGUGAUCUAAAGAAGUUAGAUUCAUGAGACCAUUCUCUUUCGCAUACAUAUCCUAAAAGUUCAUAAUCACAGGAUUGCCAAUUGGGCAUUAAUAGUCCGUUAAGAUCAGUAUGUCAUAUGUCUUCUCUUAGGGAGAGUGACUGGUCUCGAGUCAUUGGUGUGACUGACGCCAAGAUAACCAUGUAGAUGCUCAAUAGAGAAUGAGUCCACUGAACACGAUCAACAAGGAGUUUUCAUACUCAUGUCACAUGAGAACUCAUGGUUGGGAUAAUACAAAGUAGUCCUUUGACCUGAGGCAUCAUAGUUGUCUUGUGGUUAGGUCCUUGAUCUUUGACUAUAUCAAAGUCACUUCGUCAGAGGGUGUCCACGACAUAGUUGGGGUUAAGUCACUUAACCAUGGAGGCAAGUGAAUGCAUAAUAAGGGAUUCCUAACCUUUAAAUUGUUUGAGGGAGAAUACUAUAUGAUAUGAUUAAAAAUCUCUGGCCAGAGUAUGAAUGAGAUUUAGGAAGUCGUUCCAAAUCACAUUCAAGGUAAUCAUAUAAGUAAAAGAAUCACAUUGGAUAGUAGACAUGAAUAAACUAUCAAACCAAACAAUGUGGUCAAGAGUAUUGUAUUAGAGAAAGAACGUAUUGCAUUGUAAUCCUAAACUAAAUAGGUUCUCCACCUCUUCUGAUUAGCUUGUGUAGCCAUGACAUACUGUUAUGUGUAACUCAUGGUUUGUGGAAGCCUUGGUAAUCUUCAUCAAAGGGAGAAUUGAAAUGUUGUUUCAAUUCACAAUCGAUCAUUAAGAGUAACAAUCGUCCACUGCCUCGCUAAAAAGAACCUAAUGGAUCGUACACCGGGUAAGGUAGAGAUUGAAGAAACAACGGAGUUGAGUAAGAAUAAUUAAAUGGUUUAAUUGUUUAUGGCUAGGAUUAAUUAAUAUGUUAAUUAAUCAAACGAAUAAAUUCGAUUUAGACCUUGGGUUUCUUUUGGGCCUCAAGGCCCAAUGGGCUUCGAAUGUCAAGCCCAUUGACUUAAGUUGUAUGACAACUUAAUGAACAAAGAUUCAAGAGGACCCAAACAGACCAAAGACCAUAGAAGGUCGGCCAUAUUGAUGAAAUAGGGUUUUGGUUCUCUUUGUCACUUAAGUGAAGUGACUAUAUUAAGAACUUGGGAGACUUUGGAUACGGUCAUUAGCUAUGAAUAUUCUUUGAUUGAAACCUUGUUGAUUUUUAAUUUUUGAUCGAGGUCCCUGAAAUUAAUGUGAUAAUUUAUUUCUAUGUACGUUACUAUAUUUUUUAAAUUAAAAAUUAGAAAUUUUAGUUGUUUAUAUAAAUGAGAUUUUAAAUAAAAAACCAUAAUUUGUGGGAUUAAAAAUAUUAAAAUAUAAUUAUACUAUUGUUUGUGUGUGUAUAUAUAUAUAUAUAUAUAUAUAUAUAUAUAUAUAUAUAUAUAUAUAUAUAUAUAUAUAUACAUGGGUACAUUCAUCAAAAUUAACCAAAACAAUUAUUGUAUCAAAACAUGGGUACAUUCUUCAAAAUCACAAAAAAAAAAAAAAGAUAUUAGGCUUAAUAACAUUAGUAAAUUUCUUCGAUUAAACUUGACAUGGAUACAUUUUAAAAUAAAAGAAAAAAGAAUGUACCCAUAUAAGUUUAAAAAUGGAUUUUAUAUAAAAAAAGGGUACAUUUUACAUAUAAUAAAUUGGUAUAUUAAAGAAUGAGUACAUUUUAAGAUUAAAAUUUUUUACAUGAAUGGGUACAUAUAAUUAGCAUGGGUACAUUUAGCAAAAUAAAAAGUACAAAUAAAAAAAUAUAUGGGUACAAAUACAAAUAAAUUUUAAAAAAUGUGGGCACAAAAAGAAAUUAAUAUAUGGGUACAAAUUAAAAUUGAAAAGAAAAUUGGUACAAAUUAAAAAAAAUUACAAAUUAAAAAUGGGUACAAACUAAAACUACAAAUAUAUGAUAAAAAAUUUAGUCAUAAAUAUAAAUAUAAUAAUUGUAACAUUUUAACAUUAAAUGAAUAUAUCUAGAAAUAAAUAAUAAUAAUUAUUAAAAUAAUUAAUGGUGUUAUUAAUACCCAAGGACCUUGAUCAAAAAUUGAAAAGGAAAAGAAUUUUAAUUAAUGGAGUAGCAAAAAGAAGGAUGAGAACCUAAUUUCUCUAAAGAACUUUAUAGCCAAAAUUCAUAUGGGGUUCUUUUAGAGGAAAUUGGAUAGAACAAGUCUCUCCAUUCCUUUCUAGAAGGCCGGCCCCUUGGAGAAGAUUAGCUAGCAAUCUUCCCUCCUCCAAGGUUACUCAUCUCUUCUUCUAGUUUCUCCUUGGUGUGGCGACUUAAAGGUUCUCUAUUUUGGGAACUUGGAGAAUCCAUUCUACCAUCCUCAUCCAAGAAAUCUAUGGAGCUAAGAAGUAAGGAAUGAAGACCCUAUCUCUUGGGUGAUUAGCCUUUGCUUAUGCAAAGAGGAAUCAACAAAGGUAUAAGAUUUCUUAACUCACUUUGGUUUUGAGUUGAGUCUUGGUUCACCACACUCACUAGGCCUUGAAUUUCAUGGGUAAAGUUUUGUUUUUAGUGCAUAUAAGCAUGAUUCUGCCUUUAAUUGUUAAUUGCAUGUUGUAGAUGUUGCUCAAAUGAACUUGUUCUUCACAAAUAUUUCCUUCAAGUGGUAUCAGAGCCUAAGUCUAGUACUGGGUGAAUCCUUUUGGGUUUUGUAGUUCAUAGUCUUUGAUUUGAAUAUUGUAAUUGUUACAAGCUUUAUUCUUGCUUCUUUGAAUGUAAAUUUUUCUUGAAAAUUUGUCAUCUCAAAUGAUGUAGAUGUAGUUCAUAUGAGCAUGAAUUUUGGAGCUAAAAUUUGGUGCCAUGUUUAUGGGGAAAUUCGGUCAAAUCCAAAUGGUGGAUUUUUGGAUUCAUGUUUGUCUUGUUAAAAGUGUUUUAAAGUGACUUUUGGAACCCCCUAAGUACCAUAGGAUGUUAACCCCCUUUUGAUUAGUGAAAAUUUGAGUUUUAUUGAGUAAAAACAUUCAUGGAGCUCUUAUGGGUUUUCAUGGAUGUUCUUCAAUGUUCUUGCUUUGUUCUUGCCAAGAACAAAAAGUUUGGUGUUUUGAUUCAAAGUUUUUGGUUGUUUACAUAAAGUCUUGAUUUAUGAUGGUUGGUGUGACUUUUACAUCAACAAGUCACUUUUGAUUAUGUUAGUCAUGGUUGGUGUACAUGAUUGAUACUUUGCUUUCACACCUAUACCUAUUUUAUUUCAACACCAUACCUAUCUUUUUCAACAUACUUGACUUUGAAUUUUCAACAAAAACCAACCAACCCAUCAAUCAUUAUCACUACCAUAACCGGCCACCCCUAUAAUGGGGUACUUUUAGGGCUUUUAUGCAAUUACAUAAAGUUUUGUUACUUUUGUGUAUUUGCACUUUGAUCCGAAAGUUUACGUUCUUACGUAAAUGUCCAAAAUCACUAAAGGACAAAUUGUUUUGCUCCUUUAAUGAAGUUUUUUCAUUUGUUGAAAUUUUUGGGUUCUAGUUGUAAUUACAUGAAGUAGUGAACUUUUAUGUUUUUACAAAGUGACCUCAAAAGUUUGUGUUUUGCAAUAUAGCCCAAUGGUUGAGGUUAUUGUUUUUUGGCCCAAAUUAGUUGAGAACAAAAUAGUUUUGUAUCUUUAAAUGAGAAUUGAAUUUUCAUUUCAUUUAGCUCCUUCUAAAUCAAUUCUAUGGAUACAAAAACCAAAUGACAAUGUUGCAUUCAAGUUUGAUUAGUUAAAGCGUUAAUUAAUUAAAGAAAUGGUGAUCAUGAACCUAAGCCUACGAUAAUUGAGCUAUGUGAAAGGCCGUCUCUCAAAUUGUUUGAACACUGGGAAUGUGUAGAUUAGAUUUUGGUUGUAAUUUGAUAUGAUCAAAUGUUGUAAAAGAGCAUAAGCUCUUCUUUACUUUAAAGUAAUUUUUAAAGUAAUUUGUUUUGAUCAAAUGUUGUAAAAGAGCAUAAGCUCUUCUUUACUUUGAAGUACUCCUUUCUUGUUUUAUUUGAUAUGCAUGAAAUUGGAGUAGUAGGGUCCAACGCCCAAUAAGAAAACACGCCUUAAUGUGAUUAAACGCGUAACUAAAAUCAAUCACCAUUCCUAGACCGAGAUCCAACACUAAGCUCGUGUUGGAUUGAAUCCAAGGUUCAUAGUCAUCCUAAAGCCCUAAGGCAACUAUACAGUCCAUCAAUGAAUGCAAAUCUUAUGUUAGUGGUACCAUAUAUUCUUGCUUUAAAAACCGUUUUACAAGCAUAGUGGGAGUAUUAUAUACUACUAAAUUAAUCAUAUGGACCAAUAGUUGUAGGACCAAAUUGUUUAACGUGAUUAAAAUGCAUGCUAAUAUGUGAUGAGACCUAAAAAACCCUCAACCAAACAAUUAUUAAGUUGACAAGCAUAAGAGUGCUUUGAACACUUUUUCGUGGCCUUCCACCGUGGUAGGCUCCAAUCAUUUGUGACUCGUACACCGACUUCACCCUAUGAUGGGGGAGUACAAAGUGCGUGCUUACACUCUUGAGGAGUUCUAUACACAUACAUGAUGUUGUGAAGGUAGGCAACGAGAAUGAUCAACAUCAUAUCAUUGUGAGGUUGUUUUUGAACCCAUACCCAAACUUGCAUGGUGGGAAUGACUUAACUAAGUGCAAAGAAGCCAACAUCAUAUCAUUGUGAGACAUCAUUCUUUAGAGGCCAAAUAAGAUGGGUACUUGCAAGAGAUGCAAAUGAGUAAGCGUACUCUCUCAUUAUUAUUGUUGCUAGCCAACAUCAUAUCAUUAUGAGGUGGGCUUGGUAAUAGUGAGUCUCUCAUACCCUACUAAGAGUUUCCUAAAUCGAAUUCCGAUAAGGGAUAUGGAAUUUGCCAAAAAUAGUGGGUGGUGCUAUUUGAUUUAACGAACAAGAUCAAAUAACUUAAAAUCAAUCAAUUUAUAUUCGUUAUGUAUUUAUUUACCGAUAUAUUUCCAAACGCUGUCCAAAACUUGACAAAGAAAAGCCGAAGGCUUUAUUUUCUGAACUUGGUACCACAAUCCCAUAGAUUGUCUUGAAUGGAUUGUUUAUGUACCUAAGUAGUCUCAUUCUCACAAUCUUCCUAUUGAUAAUGUAUCAUUGGAAGAACAUGUUAGAUAAGUCUAUCAUAAAGAGGACAACACAUUUAGUGUCAUAAUUCUUCACUUACAAAUCGUUGUAUGAAGAAAUAAGAGUUUCUUUGAACAACCCUUAGUUAACACAAACACUAGUGCUUAUUUCUUUGUUAAAUGAACAAGGAACUUGAGAAGUAAGCACAAGGGCAUGGACACUUUAUGUGUAUGAUUCUUCACUUACAAAUUGUUGUAUGAAGAAAUAAGAGUUACCUUAAACAAUUCUUGAAAGUUUGUAAGUAUGUUUAGAACAUAAUGGUUGAUUGACGAAAAUAGUCCAUCAACAUGGACUUAUGAUGAUUUUGAAUCAUUGAGUGUUGAAGAGUUAAACCACUUCAAGAGACAUAAACUAGGCAAGGACUUCACCUUUGUGUUCCUAUCCAAAUGGUUCACUAAGUUUAUUAUAAACUAUACAGUGAACAUUAACGGCACACUCUCUAAAUCGUUUGAUGUGUAUAAACACAAUUGAAAUAAGUUUCAAGAGAGAUAGUGGGAGUUUAGGGACCAUGACUAUUGUAGUCAAAGGAGAAGUCAAAUGAAAAAGGCAAAAUAACUCCAAGGGAACAAACUUUCCUUAUGAAAUGAUGGACAUUGGAAGGGGUAUUUGCAAGAAAUGUCUUGCAAGUGUCAAGAACACACAUUUCGAAGGUGUUGUAAAUUGUUCUUGAAUAAGUUCAAAACAGUUUGUUCUUCUACUUGAAUGCUUGAUUCCGUAUUAGUAACUAUGUUUUACAAUAGUUAUAAAAGUGUGGCUACUAAGAAGUAGAGGAUUAAUGAGAGAAGAGAAAGUACUUCACAUUCGGAACGUGAAUAAAAUAUAGAUCUCUGCGAAAGUAGAUAAUACUUACUUCCUCAUAUGAACUACCAAAGAAAUUCGAAAACCAAAGAUUGUCUUUACAUUCCAAUUUGAAUAAGGAACUUAAUUCCGUCACUUUAAGAGAUGGAUGAAGGUUUUGUUUGACAAAACAUUAUUCUUUAUUAAUGAAUGAUUGGAUUAUUAUAAUCUAAUUGACUAUCUCUAUAGUAGAGAUGAUGUGGUAGUGUUAACUAUUUAGAAUAUAACGAUGCUUAAAACCCAAAAGGUUGCAAGAUAGUGACUAAUCCCACUGAGUUAUGACACCUCUAAAACAUAAAUUACAAGUUGGUCAUAAAUGGAUGCUUUGGAUUGUUAGAUCUGGAUCCAAUGCCUUCUUGUUAAAAUUGUAUAGUGGCGAAACGUUCGAAUCUUUAUUCUUUUAGAAAGAAUAAAGAAUCACAAAUUUGUUAAGGUUAAUUCACUUAGAUGUUAGUGACACUUGUCCACAACAUAAUACUACUCAUGAUUGUAUGACAUUCACCGAAGAUCGCUCUCGGUUGUACUAUUGUUUAUUUUGAAUAAACACAAGUCCGAAUACUUUGCAAAAGGUUUCAAAGAAUUCAAGAAUGUAAGUUGAUGAGUAAGACAUCUAAAGUAUUUAUUUUCUUAGAUUUGAUCCAAGGAAAAAUAACAUUUUAGAAGAGUUUCCUUGAAAGAUAUUAAGGAAAGUACCAUCAUAAGAUAAUGGAUUUCUCCAUUGGGAGAAGAACGAACUCGAAUAAGAUUUAGUUCAUUGGAUGUUAUCAAUUACCCAUAUAUAGGAUAUAUACUUCUAAAAUAAUAUAAUUGUCAAUUAGAAGAUCUUCCAAAAAUUUUAUGACUCCAUAGGAUGUAGUUGGAAAGAAAGACAAAUCUUAAGCGUGUUAAGAUUUGAGGUUGUGUACUAAUAAGCAAUAUUUUUUUUAGAACAAUCUUGUGUGGUAUCCUUAUAUUAACCUUUGGAUAUCACUUCUACAAACCAACUAACAAAUGUUGUUUGUUGGGUAGUUCAUUGUAAUCCUACACUAAGAUUUGCCUAAGAUAGAGCAAAUGAAUGAGAGAUAGAACUCAAAGAAUAGGCUCUUUGAGAGACAAGAUGAUAAUCAACAAAUAUAACAACCUAGUUCCUACACCACUAGCUCCAAGGUAGUCGAGAAGGAUUUAUAAACCAUCUCAGUUGAAUGGUUUGAACUUUAUGACUAUGUCAUAGAGUUACAUCUCUUAAUUCGAAAGAAAUAAGAAUGAAAAUCCUUAUGACUACAUUGAGUGUACAUAUAACAUAUACUUAAGGAAAUGGUAUAGUACCAUGUGACUCGAAAUAAUGAAACCUACAUAGCUAAAUGGUAGCUUAAGGUGACUACAAUCAACGAGAUUGGUUGACUUGGAAGAAACCAUCUUUGAUGUAGUCUUGGUUUCAAUUAAUUCGAAGAUUGCUAGCUACAACUAAACGGUGAUUCAAUGUUUAGACAUAAUAUGGGUUUUCGAAACCAUUAUCAAGAUAGUCUUAAUAAUAUAUGUCUAAAACUAGGAAUCACAAGAUGUGUAAAUUGUAGAGAUCCAUCCAUAAUGAACUUUAGCAAGCUAGUGGGAGCCAUAAGUGUCUUUGAGAGAAAGAUCAAAUCGUUUGAUUUCUCAUAAGGAUGUAAAUGAAUCUUUUGUUUACUAGGUUUACAAAAGAUUAGUUGGAGGUAAUCAUAUUCCUAAAUUUGAACAUAUAUAUGAUAUAUUAAUUUUGGAAAUGAAAGAAAUUCUUCUUCGUUAAACUUAUGACUUUAAACAUUCUAUAACAAUAGAAUGUAUAUGGGAGACAUAGUCUAUAUACAUGGGAUGGAAAUCUAUAAUGAUAGAUUUCAAGAUAUAAUUGGAUUAUCUCAAUCCCUAUUGACAGACGAUAAAUGUAGGAAGUUUCUCGAAUGAUAAACUUCAAAUUAAAGGACAAUUCCAGUCAAAUUGGGGGUUGUUUUUCUAAAAGGGAAUGUACCUUUUUGACUCCCAAAGAAGCAUAAAGCGUAAAUAGAAUCCUUUAUGCAUACGCAUAAAGGUGAUUUACGUAUUUCAUAUUGUAUGAAAAACGUUGAUAUGAGUUGUACCAAGAUCGGUACAAGAUGAUAUCAGUGCAAGCCCAGGAUCAAAACCAUGACAACUAUCAAGUGAGACCUUAAGUAUUUAAGAAAUACUAAAGGAUAGAUUCCUCAAGAAUGAGGAAGAAUUAGAGUAACGCAAUGGAAGCGUAAAUGUAUUAGAUUAUGAAUCUAAUAUCAUAUACAUCAUUUGAUGUCUCUUCAUUAUGAAUGAAGAGAUAAUUGGAUAUCAUAUUUAGGUGGAAACGUUAGAAGUAAUGACUUUAGUGUGUUCCAUCAUGCAUGUAAAUAUAUCGUCAUAUAGAAGCUUACAACAAUAUUGUUUGGAUGGGAAAGUUCAUUUAUGAACUCUCAAUUCGGUUCCAACCAGAAAGUGUCUCUAGUAUACCGACACUACGACACUAAUGGGGUGAUAACUCAAGUCUGGGAAUCAAGGUCUCAUCAAGAUCCAAACUCAAAUGAGAGCCUGAACCACAUGAUUGAGAAUCAUGUAUAAUGGUAACGUCAUUAUUCUAAAGGUUGCUUCUAUGGAUGACAUAUAGAUAUCCAUUGUCUAGGCCUACUACUCAGCCAUUUUUUAAAUGAAUUCAGAAGAGGUAUCAUCACUGAUGACUAAGCUGAUUGGCUCUAGUGCAAAUGGGAUAUUGUUGGAAAUGUGCCCAAAAUCCAAUCAUAUGAUGAUACAUUACAGACAUUUCACAUGUUAAACUAGUCUAGUUUAAUAUAAAGGGCAAGGAUUAUUGUUUGAAGCCGUCUCAUAUAAAUGUUAUAUGCUUAAACGAUAAGUCCAAGGAAUAUGUAAUUGGGAGGAUGUGAUCUAAAGAAGUUAGAUUCAUGAGACCAUUCUCUUUUGUAUACAUAUCCUAAACGUUCCUGAUCAUAGGAUUGCCAAUUGGGCAUUGACAGUCCGUUAAGAUCAGUACGUGUUAUGUCUUCUCUUAGGAAGAGUGACUGGUCUCGAGUCAUUGGUGUGACUGAUACCAAGACAAGCAUGUAGGUGCUCAAUAGAGAAUGAGUCCACUGAACAUGAUCAACAAGGAGUUCUCAUACUCAUAUCACAUGAGAACUUAUGGUUGAGAUAAUGUAAAGUAGUCCUUGAUCUAAAGCAUCAUAGUUGUCUUAUGUUUAAGUCCUUGAUCUUUGACUAUAUCAAAGUCACUCCGUCAGAGGGUGUCCACGACAUAAUUGGGGUUAAGCCACUUAGCCAUAGAGGCAAGUGAAUGCACAACAAGGGAUCUCUAACCUUCAAAUCGUUUGAGGGAGAAUAUUCUAUAAUAUGAUUAAGAAUCUCUGGGCAGAGUAUGAAUGAGAUUUAGGAAGUCGUUCUAAAUCACAUUCAAGGUAAUCAUAUAAGUAAAAGAAUCACAUUGGAUAGUAAACAUGAAUAAACUAUCAAACCAAACAAUGUGGUCAAAAGUAUUGUAUUAGAGAAAGACUGAAUUGCAUUGUAAUCCUAAACUGAAUAAGUUUUCCACCUCUUCUGAUUAGCUUGGAUAGUCAUGACAUACUGCUAGGUGUCCAUCAUGGUUUGUGGAAGCCCUGAUAAUCUUCAUCAAAUGGAGAAUUGAAAUGUUGUUUCAAUUCAUAAUCGAUCGUUAAGAGUAACAAUUGCCUACUGCCUCGCUAAAAGGAACCUAAUGGAUCGUACACCGUGUAAGGUAGAGAUUGAAGAAACAACGGAGUUGAGUAAGAACAAUUAAAUGGUUUAAUUGUUUAUGGCUAGGAUUAAUUAAUAUGUUAAUUAAUCAAACGAAUAAGUUCGUUUUAGACCUCGAGUUAGUUUUGGGCCUCAAGGCCCAAUGAGCUUCGAAUGUCAAGCCCAUUGAUUUAAGCUCUAUGACAACUUAAUGAAUAAAGAUUCAAGAGGGACUAAAUAGCCCAAAGACCAUAGAAGGCCAGCCAUAUUGAUGAAAUAGGGUUUUGGUUCUCUUUGUCACUUAAGUGAAAUGACUAUACAAAAAACUUUAUAGCCAAAAUUCAUUUAGGGUUCUUUUAAAGGAAAUUGGAUAGAACAAGUCUCUCCAUUUCUCUCUAGGAGGCCGGCCCCUUGGUUACUCAUCUCUUCUUCUAGUCUCUCAUUGGAUAGAACAAGUCUCAUCCAUUCUACCAUCCUCAUCCAAGAAAUCCAUGGAGCUUAGAAGUAAGGAAUGAAGGCCCUAUCUCUUGGGUGAUUAGCCUUUGCUUAUGCAAAGAGGAAUCAACAAAGGUAUAAGAUUUCUUAACUCACUUUGGUUUUGAGUUGAGUCUUGGUUCACUACACUCACUAAGCCUUGAAUUUCAUGGGUAAAGUUUUGUUUUUGAGUGCAUACAAGCAUGAUUCCGCCUUUAAUUGUUAAUUACAUGUUGUAGAUGUUGCUUAAAUGAACUUGUUUUUCACAAAUAUUUCCUUCAUCAAGGCAGAUACAUUGGCUCGUCUGAUCACUAUCGUGGACGAAUGAAGGUGGAAAAAAAAAAGAAGAUCUUCCUCACAUGCUAAAAAAAAAUUGAAGACGUCAUCCACUGCUCAUAAGUGUCCACCUGCUAGAUCUGAGCCAGUGACGCUUGCAUUGCCAAAGGUGGCUAGCAUGAGUGCUGAUAGGAUUGCUCAUCGUAGAAGUUUUGUCAUGCCCCCAAUGACAAAAUUUAUGCCAAAAUGUCUGUAGGGGGCUAAGUCUGGUUUACCUUUAGAGAGACUUGUUACUAUGAAGAGCGAUAAGGUGGACUCUUCUGUUAAAAUGGCGCCAAGGCCUAUUCCCCCUGCUACUGAGAUUGAUUCGCCUACUGGGAAGGAGGAGACUGCUCGUUUGGGCAGUUGUGAGAAAUUCACUAAACUUACUUUUGGGGAUGCUGUUAAGAUUUGUGUGCUUUUGAAACCAUAUCUGCUUGAAGACAUGGACGCUUGUGCCAAGUUUGUUGAUGGCGUUAGAAAAGUUGUUUGCCCAAGUUAUUUUGCGAAGUAUACGGCUGAGUAUAGGAAGACUACUUUACUUGUAAUGAUGCAGAAGACGACUAUUCUAGCAGCUGAGUCUAUGUUCCUUGACCAAGAGGAUACCAAGGCUGCCAAUGAAAUGACAAAGGCUAUUGCAACGAAGCUUAUUCUUCUGCCAAGAAGAUUAAGAGGUUGGAAUCUUAAGCGUGCCAUUUCUGAGCUUCGUUAUGCUGCUUAUGCAAAUGAUGAAGAGUUGAUUGCUGCUUAUAACCAAGUGAUCCAUUUCAAAAAUGUCGUUGAUACGCUUGAACCCCAAAUGUUAAAACUCCAAGGUGCGCUGAGGAUCAACGAAAGUUUGAAGAAAGAAGUGGUUGAGCUGCAGUGUGUCCGUAUUGGUCUGCUUGAGGAGAACAUAUAGCUGAAAGGUGAGAAGGCUGGGCUUGAGGCUUCGCUUGUAAAGAGUCAAACAAUUUCUACAAGUUGGGUUAUAUAGAUAAUCUUUUUGGUAAGCCGUCCGACUUCGAGUUUGCUGGGGGAGACUUCGAAAGCUUCUCUAUUUCUCCGGAAUACUUGCUUGCCUUUACUUUUGAGGCCUCUAUUGGUAAAGUAGUCGGAGAGGUUGAUGUCUAAGCUGGAGCAACCGGGGGUGAAGUGUCGGAUGAUGUCGUUGCUAGGAGGCAACUGCUGAAGGUGUGGCGGCCGAGUAGUCGUGGGAUGUCCAAGUUGCUAAAGGUUGUUUUCUAGGUAGCCUUUAAGAUUUUCUUUGUUUUCCUUGUUGCUCUUAUUUUGCUUAAACUUCUUCGACUUUUGCUAGUCGUUUAUCAAUUUUGCUAGAAAAUUUAAUAAACUUGCUUUCUUCGCUUUUCUUCAUCUUCGCUUCUUUUGUUUAUGCCCGACCUUUGACUUUUAGACUAACGGCAGACAUGCUUCUUUUCUAUAAACAGACAAGCCCGUGUAAACCAUACAGCCAUAGAUAUUGGUGUAGAACUUUUGCAAGGUUGUUAACCAUAAGGUCGGCAGCCGGACACCUUACUUUUAGAAACAGACAAAUCCGCAUGACCACUUGGUUGUUAACCUUGGCUUUCUUUAAUCUUUUGAGCUGUGUCACCUAUAUCACAACAUACUAAAGAUUUUUGGGUCAUGAAAUUCGCUAACCUUUCGUAUCAAAAGUACGUGGUUGUACGGAAUUUCGUAAGUAAAGGUUCGAGAGAACUCAUUGCUUUUUAUGUAACCAAUUUUGUGGGUUGCGUAGCAAAUAUCACAACACUUUAGGAAUUAGUGUAGAUCUAAUUGAUCAUUCUACGCUUGGUAGAGGUGAAGCUUAUCAGUUGCCUAGCAUGUUCGUAAACGAUAAAGCUUGAUGUAUGCACGCUAGCUUGUUUGACCUUUCCCUAGAAUGUGCAGUUGUAUAAGUAUAGCGUGGCUUUACUGCUCGAAGGGCAAGCCGUAGGCAGUCUUUAGGAAACCGUAGGCUACCUUAAUGCACUCGGUAGUAGCUUUAUGGUUCCACGGCAGCCGUUCAUGGGGCGUACUGCGUAAUGUGCCUCCUCAGUUUCUGAGGCCCGGUUCCCCAUGGAUUAGGCCAAGAGACCCAAAAUCCUUCAGUUAGCUAAGCCUUGAAAAAGACCAUUGUGGCUACUUCUAGGAAUCCCGGCGUAAGCCAUCGUGAACCUAGUUAUACCAAGGCAACCCGGUUCAUCCACGUUUGGAUAUUCGGAGUAUAAGUUUAUCCUCUUGCCUUGGAAAGCAGACCUAUAUGGGUGUCGAGGAAUUGGUUUACCCUCUUGCACUAGAGAGCAAUUACUUUAUCAUCUUGCACUGUAGAACAUACCUAGAUGGGUGUAGUGGAAUUGGUUUACUGUCUCGCACUGGAAAACAUAGUUGGUUCUUCGAGGGGCGCAAUUUCUGCGAUGAGUCCCUAAGAUGGGUGUAGUCUUCUUUUGAAGUGCAUGAGUGAUCAGUUAUUGUAAGCAUGCAGCCGAGCCAAGUUGUAGAUUACGUCUGAAUUCCUUAUUGAAAAACAAGUGAAAUGAAUGAGAACAUAGCUGUAAGGUACGAACUACAUAACAACUGGAUAGUCCUCGGCUUACGAGGUGGUACUCGUCGAGCUGCUUGAGUCCUCGGGCUUUAAUAUGGUAGGGGUCACACAUGGUACUUCCUUAGAUUGUAAGCAUUCCACUGUUUUUCAUCUCUUUGUCGUUCAUGGUGGCGAGAGUGUAACUACCCUUGCCGCCUACUUUGUUGAUCUUGUACGGACAUUCCCAUAUGGAAUCCAUCUUUCUGAAGCUAUCUAUGCAGGCAGUGAUGAAAGCUUUUCUUAGGACUAGAUCUCCGAGUUGGAACUGCCGGAUCUUGGCCCUUUUGUUGUAGCUAAAGAAUAACUGCUGCUGGUAGGCUGCGAUGCGGGUAAUGGUCUGCUCGCUCUUCUUCUAUGCCAGAUUUAAGCUUGUGGAUAUCUCCUUACUGUUAUGCUCAAUGCUUGGCAGUAGAGUGCUAAUACUUGGCAUGAUGACAUUUGGGAGAAAUUAUUGCUUCUAAACCAAAUACCAAAGAGAAAUGAGUCUCACCGAUGACUCGUCGUUUGGUUGUGUGAUAUGCCUAUAGAAAUCUAGGGAGUUCAUUUGGCCACUUUCCUUUCUUGUUGAAGAGGGAUUUCUUGAGGCGGUCGAGAAUCGUCUUGUUAGAUGCUUCGACAUGCCCGUUGCCUUGAGGAUAUCUCGGCGUGGACAUGUGUUACUUGAUGCCAUACUUUUGGAAGAACUUCGCCAAAUCUUUGCACAUGAAUUACAGGCUGUUGUCGGUAAUGAUGGAUUGAGGAUGCCAAAUUGGCAAAUAAUGUUCCUCCAUAUGAAGAGUUAUAUGUCUGCCUAAGUCGUGGUUGUCAUGAACGUUGCUUCUACCCAUUUGGUGAAGUAAUCGGUUGACAAGAUCAUCAUGCAUUUGCCCUCAAUAGUGGGCAGCAUUGGCCCUACCAAGUUGAUUGCCCACUACAUAAUCGACCAAGAACUUGUCUGUGGGUGUAGUUCUCUAGCAGGCAGUGCUGGUACUAGCUUGUAGCGUUGGCAACGAUCACACUUUUGCACUAACUCUUUAGUGUCUUGUUGCAUGGUAGGCCAGUAGUAGCCUAUGUUAAGAGCCAUCUAGGCUAAUGAUUGGCCUCCAGAGUGAUUUCAACUAAUGCCUUCCUAGAUUGAGCUUAAAACCUUUAGGUUGUUGGAAGGCGCUAGGCAUCGAAGAUGUGGUACAGUGUAGGAUCUUCGGGCAAGAAUGUUGUUCCACAUGUAGUAGUGUGCUGCCCUUAUUUGGAGAUUUCUAGACUUCAACAUUUCCUUGGGGACGGUAUCAUUGACCAGGUAAUCUAUAAUAAAACUUUGCCAGUUUGGAGUUAUACUAACAUGUGACACUUCGGUUGUCGGCUCCGCCUUUAUGCUUGGCUUGUCUAGAUACUCCACCGGGAUAUAGCGUAUGAGUUGGUGGUCGAGGGCGGAGCCUAGGCCGGUUAAUACGUCGACGUGAGCAUUGUCUGCCCUCAAAACUUGAGUGAGGGAGGGUGUAAGUCUGAAAUGCCUCAAGUUGCUUACGUACUUUCUCUAAGUAUUGUGCCAUCCUUGGAUGUUUUACCGUGUACUCCCCAGUAGUCUAGCUGGUGAUUACCUGGGAAUCAGAAUGAAUUGCAAGCUUUUUCACCACCAAGUCUUUUAACAUUUGGAGGCUUGCUAGUAGGGUUUCGUACUCUAUUUCGUUGUUCGUUAUUGGAUGUUUUAAAGCCUAGAGUGAUUGCUUGCUCGAGCAUCAAACCGUCUAAGGUGACAAGGGCCACGCCUGCUUCCGAGCCCUUGUAGUUGGAUGCAUCACCGACGUGCAAAGCUAGAAAUCUUCAUAAGGUGAAGCAGGCGUGGCUAAGGUGUGCUCAGCUGCCUACGGAGCGUCGUUAGGUCAUUCUGUUGCUUUGCCUAGGCUAAGCGUGAAGGCGUGGUAGGAAGCAGUGGAGCUUGGGCCAUGUUACACGUAGCAGGAGAUGCUCAACUACCGAUAUCGGGCUACUCUAGAGCUAAAUUAUGAAGUAAAGGUCGGCUGGGGCCGUGUGACAUACAGCAGGAGGUGGUGCUCAAUUACUGGUACAUGUUGCUCAUAUGUAGAAUCUUUUGGGGCGACAAUGACAAAACAUGCUUUCGAGUAUUCUUCUAGUGAUUGUCUGCCCUUGGUGUCCCUUUUGGGCUGAGUUGUUGCAUUUGUAAAAAAGCUUUGCACCGCCAAUGUCUGCACCUUUAUCGUUGUGCAUCUGGAUUGGGUGGAAUAAUGCAUUAUGAGUAUGAUUGCAUGUGUUUGAAGGUAUAACUUGAGCUUCCGGGUUGCAGCAAAUGUUGCCAAAGUUAGCUUUUGAAUUUUUGGUAGCUGGUUUCCGCAUCAAGAAGAGCUUUUAAACAGUGGAAUAUAGGUAGUUGGGCCCUCAGCUCUUUUUGUAUGAGGGUAGAGCUUAUUGUUGCUUCAGAUGCGGCUACUCGUCUAGUCAGACCUUGAAUCUCUUUCAGAGUAGUGGGGGACUUCAUAUUCAAGAUCGCUCAAAUUUUCCUUGAAUGUGCAUCGGCAAGCUUCAUCCCAAAAUGCAUGCUUUUCUGCUAGAGCGAAAGAGUCUGCUAGAGUUAAACCUUCUUUCAUGAUCAAUUCUCUGAAUAGCAGAUGGGCUGUUGAGAGUCAUUUUUGGAUGGCUACAUUAGCUAUCGAGUCGUUACAUCCUACUAUCUUUGCUUUCUUUACUUUGAACUUCUUCAUAUAGUUGCGAAACGAUUCCUUGAGGUUCUUCUUCACGUUGAAUAAGUGGUCGGACUUCUUCUUGAUCGAGUGGUAGGAUGAAUAUCCUUUGGUGAAAACUAAGGAAAGAUCAACAAAACUCUUGAUGCAUUGUGGCGGUAAGGUGUGGAACUAAUCUUACGCCUUACCUUGUAAAGUAAUGGCGAAUAUUUUGCACAUAAGAGCAUCAUUGUUUCGAUAAAGGACCAUCGAGCUUCGGUUGUGCUUCAAAUGCCUCUUCGGGUCUCCAUCUCCUUUGAAGGUUGCGAAAUAUGGCAUGGCAAACUUGUGUGGAGGCUUUUCCUGCUCGAUCUCGUCCAUGAAUGGUGACUUGCUCAUAUUGGUCAUGUCCCGAUAUAGCGAUUUGUUGGCAACUUCAUUGCAUUAGAAAUCAUGCAAUCACUCGUUUAAGAGCAUCUCUACCUCUUCCUGAAUAUACCUUUGUUAGGGGUAGUGGAGCUUUCGGCUGCCCCCGGUCUUGACCUGCUGGUCUAGGCUACUUUUUUACGUGCUUAACUCAUUUAUGUUGUGGCGACGGUGUAUGUGGUUCGUUCCUAGCAGGCGAGGGAAUUCUUCGCAAGCUGCUGGUUAAACUUGAGUUGGACUGAGUGACUGCUUCUCUCCAUCCUUCGUGUUACCUGCUUCGAUGUGAGGUAGAGAAUGCUCCUUGUAGGCCUAACUGUGAAUGAACACUUCGCCUAGAAUGUUGCUUAUGUUAACUAUCGAAGUGUGGCCCCAACCAUGAAUUUAUGCUCAUCCGUGGGCCUAAUCAAGAGUGCACGCUCAUUCGUGUGAUAAGACAGGAUUAUACGUUAUCUUGGGGACCGAGUCUAGAGUGUACACUGCCCGAACGUUCAGUUCAUGGUUGGUCGAGUGGCUGCUUGUCGGGAUGCUACUAGAGAGGUUAUUUAUCCACCCUUGUCCUACUUCGGAACACCUCGUAUAGGGCACGUUGCAUCUCGGUGCGCUGCAAGAGCUGAUUCACCAAGGUUGUAUGUUGUACGAGGGAGCUCGUCAACUCUAUGACUUGUCGAGACAAGUGUUGUUCUCCAUUUGGGUUGGAAGAGCUUGGAAAGAAUGUGUCUUCUUGAGCAGUGGAAGUGUGGUAGACUUCGGGCUCAAGAUUUGAGUUGGGAAAUGUCAAAUCCACAAAGAAAUGAGGUGAAAAUACCCCCGGUUCAAUCGUUGGCCCAAACAUUUGGAGCUAGGACAGUUAAACCGGUCUUGGAUCGAUUUGGGCUGCUUGGAAAGCCACGGGAGUAGGUUGGGCCAUAGGAAUGAGCUGCUCAGAGUGCGGCGCACAUAGGUGCAAGGCUAGGGCUCGACUCGGCAACGUGUUGGGCUUGAACAGCUUGAGCUAGCUCACCUUGGGCUUGGGCCCGUAUGGGCUUGAACAACAUGGCUUAAGUCGUGGAUCUUGCCAAGGGUGGCUGCCCUGGUGGUUGCUACGGUGGUGCCUCGUGAGGGUGGUGCCGAUCCACUCAUCAUCGUGUUAAGUCUUGUGGAUCGCCGUGGUCCUAUUUUUUGAACGUUGGAAUUUUCGUUCGUCGAGGUUUUCGAAUCUCUUGUCAUUGUACUUCUUUUUUACGUUUUAUCUAAGAAUUUUUAUAAAUAAAAAUUCCAAGAGUAAGAACGUACAAAAAAUCUACAAAUGAACAAGAAAACGAAAAACCUUGAAUGAUAGAGUCUUCUACAAACAUGUGACUUAAACUCUCAAUGAAAGCAUCAAUUUGUGGAUGCAAAUUUUUGCCUUCUUCUUCUUGGACGAAAAUGCACCUGUAAAACAAUUAACACAUUUGGUCAAGGCUAAGAGCCUCACACGCCCACGAUGAAUUUUACAAAUGAACCUCCAAAGCCAAAAUUAUAAUUUGAGGGAAAAGUGUUUAAAGAAAUUUGGAGAAUUUUGCAAGAGAGUUGGACUUAGGUUUUUGGGAGAAAUAGGACCUAUUUGGAGAAAAGGGGUCCGGCCACUUAUGGUGGUUUUUGGGUGUAAUUGCAAGAUAUUAUAUCAAAAUAAUAUCUUGCAAUCAAUUAGGAAAAUAAUUAGAAAAAUAAUUAAUUAAUUUAGUUAAUUAAUCCUAAUUUGAAUGAAUAAUUAAGGGUUACCUUGUGGGAAGAAUUUGAUGAGGAUGAAUGAAAUAUGUUUUGAAUAAAUACCUAUUUUGAUCACUUUUGAUCUUGAUUGAGUUGUGAUUGUCCGUUGCUUGCGCGUGAGAGUUCCGGUGUGGAUCGAGGGUAAUUUUGUCAUUUUCACCCAAAAGUACACGUGUCGUUUCCAUAAUUUUCUUGAUUAUUUUUUACUUCACACAUACUACACGACAAAUAGCUCUAGAAGCGGCACCAAAGUAAUAGCUGGAAACUGUCAUUGGCAGCCAAAACCCCCUCCAGUCCCGUAUCACCACUCAAACACCCCUCAUAUUAGUAUGGCCCUUCACUGCCCCAUUCUUAUUAAUCUUGACCCACCCUUGGCUAAAAGGAGACCAUCGUGGGGUGGGCAUUCCUCUUGACCUAGCAGGUUCACAAUUCGCCGACAGAAACGCUGAUAACCAAGAAAAAACCUUCUGCCACACAACCAUAGGUAAUCCUUAGGAACCCCUCCACACCCAUGAGUUCUUUUCUUGCCAGAUGCCCCACAUAAUCAAACAAGCCAACUCAAAGUCCACCUCUUAUUCUCUAGCACCACAAGCAGCCAAUCCUUAAUUGGUAUUUGAAUACUCCCGGAUAACCAAAGAUCGAACGAAGAACUAAACCACACCGCUCUAGUAAACGGACAUGUAAGUAGCACAUGUUCUGCAAUUUCCUCCUCCCCUUGGCACACCUUACACGCCAACUCCACUCCCACACCUUUCUUACGGAGAUUCACUUUAGUUGGAAGAAUAUCAUGGCACACCCUCCAAGUGAAAUUCUUAACUUUGGGAGGAAUGUUAGCCUUCCAAAGAUGCUUCCAAAGUCUCACAUAUGAACUUACAUUGGUAGAGGAGGAUGAACUACUAUCAGAGGAUUGUAGCCAUUGUCGAGCCACCCAACACCCACUAUUAACAGAGAAAAUACCCCGCUCAUCAUAAUGCCACACCAACCUAUCCUCUGGAGCACAGAAACUAAUAGGAAGAGAUAGAAUUAGAGAUACUUCCACCGGGAUAAAAAAGUCCAAUAACAAAUCAGUUCGCCACACCCUUAUAGAAGUAUCAAUCAACUCCUCAACCUUUAUUUGAAUCCAUUCGGGGGAAGGUGCCGAGAUUACCUUGAAAGUACUAGGCCGAGGUAACCACCUAUCCAACCAAACCCUUAUUGUCCGACCAUCUCCUACGACCCACCUAGACCCUCGAACCAGUACCUUUCUCACCUUAAUAAUACUUUGCCAACAAUACGAAGAGGAUGCAGAGACUUCCGCUUCCCAAAAUGAGGAAUUUGGGAAAUACCGUGCCUUGAAAACUUGUGCAACCAAGGACGAGGGAUGGUGGAACACCCACCACCCUUGCUUAGCCAACACUGUCAUAUUAAAAGCAUAGAGAUCACGAAACCCCAACCCACCUUUAGCUUUGGGUUUACACAUCUUGUCCCACAACCGUCAAUGAAUUUUUCGAUCCUCCGAACCAUUCCCCCACCAAAACCGAGCCAUAAGUUGAUGUAAUUAUUCACAAAAUGUCUUUGGGAGCAAAAAACAGUUCAUCGCAUAAGAAGAGAGGGUUUGAGCAACAACCUUUAUAAAAAGUUCCUUUCCCACAUUACUCAGGAGCUUACUUUUCUACAUGUUAAGCCUUUGUGUCACUCGCUCCUUGAUAUACGAGAAAAUUUGUUUUUUAUUCCUCCCCACACAUGUCGGCAACCCCAAAUAUCUCUCGUGUCGUUCCACCAACUGAAUGCCAAGGAAACCUACUAACAUUUGUUGAUCAUAUUGAAGCACAUUCGCACUAAAUGCAACACUAGUCUUAACAAUGUUCACCAAUUGACUAGAAGCUUGAGAGUAGAUGUCUAAAAUAUGUUGAAUCACCGCACAUUCAUCCACAUUCGCUCUACCAAAGAGGAAACUAUUGUCUGCAAACAAAAGGUGGUGAAUCGUGGGUGCUUUCCCACAUAGUCGAAUGCCACUCAACUCCCCUACUUGCUCCUUCUGUGCAAUAAGUGCCGAAAGGCCUUCAACACAUAAUAAAAAUAGAUAUGGAGAUAAUGGGUUCCCUUGCCGAAGCCCUUGGGACAAAAUCAAAUAUCCACACGACUGCUCAUUAAUUAGAAAAGAAUAUGACACAGAUUUAACACACACCAUCACCAUCUUAAUCACUAGCAAGCCCCAACUUCUCCAUCAUAGCUUCAAGAAAGCACCAUUCAACUCGAUUAUAAACUUUACUAAGAUCAAUCUUAAGCAAAAGAACCAUCCCUACCACUCCUCUUAUUGUGCAAAAAAUGCCCAAUCUCCUUCUUAAUUUGGGUUGGUAGACACAUUUAUAUUCUUUUUAAUUAACAACAUCAUCGUAAUAAAUGUAGUGUUCGGUAGGACGAAAAUAAAUGCUUCGACGUUAAAAAAAUACAUGAAGGAAUAUGUUGAAAACGUCUUAUGUCAAACGAUGAAGUAUUUCGUAUUUAAAGGAUGUAUAUAACCAUUUUCAAAUGAAUUUGGGUUGUUGGAGAAUAUAUAAAAUUUGUCAAGUGAUUAGUUUGAUUUGCUGCAAUAACUGAAAGAAAGAAUGGAGAUUGCCAUAAUAUUGAAUUCAAAUAUUCAAAUCAAAAGACUGAAGCCAACAAACUUGUUUGAGAAAUACUAAGGAGAUUCUCUUAAAGUGGAACUCUUCAUGAACUCUUGUUACUUCACAGUUUAACGUCAAUUUUCAUACCAAUAUUAUAAAACAUUGUUCCAAAAAAAUGACGUAACAGAAAGUCCAUAAAAAGUCUCAUUUUUUAACGAAUCUCUUUAUCAUCUCUCAACCAACACUCUAUAAGUUCGGAAAUCUCCAGCCCAAGUCUUAAAAGGCAAAAACUACAUGUCAGGUUUCCAAGCCUACAUAUCAGGCUUAAAUAUAAGGAACUGAAAAGCAACGAUCUAUGGUAAAUUUUAUUCAAACUAUCCUUACUAGAAAUUAACGUGAAGAGUUAAAAACUUUUUUAUCACUAUGUUUUGGAUUGAAAUCGAAAUCUAUGUUGGUCAUUGUAUACCUAGUUUAUGGUCAUUUGAAAUGUCAAAUUGGUAAGGUUUGACAACAAAAUGAUGAACUUGGCUAAAUUUAAAAAAACAUAUACCAUUUUUUGUUUCAAAACAAGGCAGAUUUUGAGUGUUCACCUAUUAGAUUACGUGUAUGUGCAGCUAUACAUACAAAAAGGGGAUCUGGUGCAUUUCAAUUUCUUUCGUCUCUACUUUAUGGUCCCAUCUUGUUAUGGACGUAAGUCAUAAUGUAAAAAUUCAAAACUUUUUUUAAACGGAUCAAGUUUUGUCUAUUAUUGCGAAGUUCUGUCACUGAGGCAUUUUGUCAAGAAUUUGGUGGCCCUAUCGACUUUUGUCGAGCUAUGUUUUCGAGCCUUGCCAACGUAUGUUGAACAAUGAUGUCGAGGCCCAUCAAGUAUCACGUUUCGAGCAUUGUCGAAAUAUGAUGAACAUGCAUUUUAUCGAGUACUUGGUGGGUACUACUGGGUCUCAUGCAUUUUAUCGAGUUAUUUCCCGUAUUUUAGGGUCAUGGGAGACUAGAACCCAACUGGUCCCUUAAUGGAACUGCCAUUGUCCCACCUAAUUUUAGAGAGACAACAUUGUACACACGACUAUCUUCUAGGGUAGUGUUAUUCACACAUCCCUUUUACUUUCCACACACACCCUCUGUUUUUUGUCCGCUAACCAUCUUCAUUCAUUCGAUCUGCCGACAAAAAACUAAGAGAGAUUUUUGAAAUAACAAAGACUGUGUAGAUAGCAUCACCCAUCUUCUAAAUUACAAUGCCUAAGAUUUUCAACCCUUCAAGUAUGUAUAAAUUCCGUUAAACGCAUUGUGUCGGACUCUCAUGUCACUGGUCUAGCCCGAGCCCAAAUCCUGUAACGGGUCCAGAACAAUACACGAGCCCAACCGCAGCAUAUAACUUUGGGCCAAUAGGGUUUCGUCUGAUAGGCCCAGUUUAUAGUUAUCACUGUCGCACUCCUCCGUUCAUAUAAAAGCAAAAACCCCUUCAGAUUUUAGAAAACCCUAACGAACGCAGAGCUCUUCACUUCCAGCAGCUGCCCGCCACCACUCCGACUUCCCCAGAGGUAUAGAUUUCUCCUCUCCUCCUUACGUUCCGAGUCUUCAAAAUCUCCGCCGAUUCGAGAAAAUUCUCUGAUCCGUUUCUGUGUAUAUUCGAUUUGGUUUCUAGGGUUGUGAUCUCGAUCGCCAAGAUGCAAAACGAGGAAGGAAUCAUCACCGAGCUCUACAUCCCGAGGAAAUGGUACUCAAUCGAAUCUAAUCGGCGUUUUUUUGUUGUGAUUUUUUGGUUUUGGGAUUGGGAGUUGAGGGUUUGGGAUUAAAUUUAGUGGUGUUUGUGUGUGGAUGCAGCUCGGCGACGAACAGGCUGAUCACCUCCAAGGACCACGCUUCUGUUCAGAUCAACGUUGGGCAUUUGGAUGAACAUGGCAUCUACACCGGCCAAUUCUCCACCUUCGCGCUGUGCGGCUACGUCCGUGCUCAGGUUCGCCUUCCUUCAUUCGUACAUUUACGGGGCUAUUGUGGUAAUAUUUGUGUUUUUAUUGGACAUUUGUGAAUGUACUGUGCGAUUAGAAUGUGCAGAAUGGUUGCGGAAAUUGAUUGUAUUUUUGUUUUCAUUAUAUUAGUUUCAUUGAUUUUGCUUAUUUGCUUUGUGUUUUCACUAUAUUACUAUGCUUCAUUCAAAACCUGCAAUGAGAAAAAUAACGUACAAAUCUCACACAUUGAAUGACUGGUGGCGGCUGAAAAUCCUAAACUAUGCCAAAACAACGAUCAUUUUUGUCAGCUCCGAUUUACUUUAUUACAUCAGGAUGCAAUUGCAAGUUUGCAAUUACAGUUUUUGAAAUUGUUCAAUUACCGAGAGAUUUUAAACCUAAGUAUGAAGUUUUUCGAUUAUUCUGAUAUUGGGUUACAGAGGGGUUGUUUGAUUAGGUUUUCAAUGGAACUUGAAAGUUAAUUAGCGUGUGUUUUUAAUUUUGAAUCCGUCAUUUGCAAUUUGGCUUUCCCUUUGCUCUUCUCUGAUUUCCUUUGCAUGCUUUCUUUUUUCAGGGAGAGGCCGACGGUGGUUUGGACCGACUCUGGCAGAAGAAGAAAACUGAAGUUAAACAACAGUAGAAAGAGAUAAUGAUUCUUGUUGCUUCCUCGAACCUUCGGUUCUUGGGGAUGGAAGUGUUUAAUUUCUGAAGUAAAAUGUGACGUUGAGAGGGCUUUUCUUAUUCAAUUAGUACUGCUUUUUGCAAGUAGUUGCCGAUGUUUUGUGGUGUUGUUGAAUUGGGCUUCUUUUGACUGUUAAAGUAGUGAAACUUCUACUCAUUUGAGUACUUUAAAUAUAUUCCUGGUUUCUUGAAAUGAUUUACACUCGUAAUGCAUGAUUAUCUUAUGAUAUAUGUCAAAAAUUAUACCCAUGGCUAUCUUCUGAGUAUUGACAUAGAUUAUGUCCUGUCAGUUACAAGUGAAAAGUAUCUCGAGGAUUUGCCGUUGUGAAACAAGGUUUCAAAUAUCGAAAAGGUUGCUAGCAAGCAACGUAAGUUUACAUCUGACAUGUAUGUUGUCAAUUGUCGAAAACUUCAAACAUGAAUAUGAAUGUUUGCAAACGUACAUUUAAGGAAUCUAGCACUUGUGAUUAAAAUUAAAAUCCGAAACUAAGCACUUUAUAAACAAAAGAAAUUAUUUACAAAAUACAAAUUCGAUGAGACUUAAAUCUCAAAAUUCCAAGUGCUAUCUAAUCAUAAUUUGCACGACUACGACUUAAUAUAUCACAAAAUAUAUUUACUUCCUGAUGCCAUCUGCACGAAUUACAGCUACUGAAUUUAUCAUGGUCAUCGAAAUCCCAUCCUUGUUCGAUUGUGUACGGACCUUGUGGAUCUCCACAGUCGUUGCAUGCUUUCAUGGCAGCGUUCUCAUCGUGUGCUUCUACAAUUCUACCUAUUACUUCCCUAUUCACCCACAUUGUGUUCCAAAUCAAUUCCUUAAUCCUCUCUCGGCAUUCUGUCACGCUUAACCCUCUCGAUUUGUGGCGGUUGAGUGAGUACAGAAGCUCAAGUCCUUUCUGCCUUGAAUCGCCCCCGCAACACACCAAGAUCGCUCCGUACACGUACGUUGCUUCUACGUGACCCUUUGAGGCUGCCCUCUUCAGAGACUCGACCCCCGCAGGUUCUAUCCUCUUGCUUGUGAAGAGGUCGCGCAUCCCUUGCCUGUACAAGGCCUCCGAAUUGCCGAGAUCCCUGCACCGCAUCAGAAACCUCGUGUGUUUUUCACUUGCGCGCCAAGAAACCAGCGGGAACUUGCUAAUGUCGACGUGCUCGAAUAUGUGAUCAUCUUGAGCACUUUCGUUGAAAUCCUUGCAGCUUAACAUGGCUGAAUAAAGAUCAUCGAAGGAGCGCGAAGCGACCUUCGCGAGUACUUGGACCAGAACCUCGUUCGGAAGAGAUUGAAUGGACGAGGAGGCGUUUCGAGGUUUCUUCUUGUUCUUCUUCUUGAUCCUGCGAGAGGCGCCGUUGACGAUGCCUGGAAUAAGAACAAAAGAGCGAACCAUGGAGAACUUGGGAAGGAGAAAACGAAAUCAGUUUGCUUUGCUGACGGUACAAGAAGCAAUUAAACAACGUUGCGUGCGAUUAUAUAUAGUCAAACAGAUGCAGUCUUUAUCCUUGUAGGAAGAGGACAAGAAGCAACCGACGCCAAAUCGGAAUUGGAUUUGUUACUAAUACAACUUGGAUUUGUGUUUUUUUUUUGGGUCAAAAGAGGUUAUAGAGUUUUAAAUACUUGGAUUUGUUAUUAAUAACCAGUUAACUUGGCUAAAUCGGUAUUGGAUUUGUUUCAUGCUAAUACAGAAUCUUUUGCCCUACUACCAACUAAGAAAAAUUACUUCAUAUAGGAGGGUAAUGGUGUUUGGCUAUUCAAUAUUGAAAAUUAUUUUAAAUUCGAAUUAAUAUGAAUUACGAGGUUAAACUGUGUCACACUCCAACACUAGCAUACUUUAUAAGUAAUACACUUUUUAUAGAUGUAUCUUCAAGGCAGAGCCAGCAAAUUUAACUCUGGUUGGUUAGCUAAAAAGUAUAUAUAUAAAAAAAAAGGUUUAGUUUUAGAAAAUGACUAUACUUUAAUCUUAUAAACAAGACUCGUCCAAUUAUUUUGUGUUCAUCGACCUUUAAUAUGACAAAUACAUAUAAAAAUAAACAUAAAAGGUUAACACACUGUAAAACCUACGGCUGGAAAAAAAAUCCCAAAAAUCCCAAACCGAACCGAAAAAUUCCCGAAACCAAACUGAAAAAAUCCCAAACCUAAAUUCUCGAAAAUUUCGGUGCCCAAUACCAAACCGAUCCUGAAAUUUUGGUAUGGGAAUCGGUCUCAAGUUUUUGGGAUUUCGGUAAUCCCAAACCGAACUGAAAAAAAAUAUAUAUUAUUUAAUUUUUAAAUAUAUAUUUAGAAUUUUAAUAGCCGUUGGAUUCUGUUGAGAUUUAAUCUCAACCGUUGCAUAUAAAUUGCGUAUGAUUUAUCCUUCCUGGUGUGAAUGUAUAUAUGUGUGUCUGUGUGUGCAUGGGAAACACGAAAAAGUUUGGCAUUGUAAAUGACUAGGACAGAUAAGGAGGGGAAGGAGGAGUGAAAUGCACGCUAAUGACUAAUGGGAAUUUUGAUGCUCAAGCCCUCCAUGAAAUUUAAUCUAUGCACAGAUUAAAUUUAUUUUUAUUGCAACAGAUUGGUUUGGUUGUAUACUUGUAACUUACAAUGGCCUAUGAAAUUUAUUAAGAAAAUUUAGUCUGCAACAGAUUGACAACCCAAUAUAAAAGGUUGAAUUUUAGUCCAAAAGCCCAAAAUCAUUUCGGGAUUCCCGAUUUGUCCCGAAAUCUAGAAAUUAUUUCCGGAUUCCCGAAAAUUGAGAUUCCCUAAAAAUUGGUUUGGGAUCGGUAUUCGAUUUGGGAUUCCCAAAAAGUUCGAUUUGGAAAUCGGGACAUGGAUUUCGAUUUGGUAUCCCAUACCGAACCACCCCUAGUAAAACCUUUUGAAAUGGAUAAAAUUCAUGCAUAAAAUAAUUUGAAAUUUGAAAUAUGCAACAAGUUGCUUUUGAAAAUAAUUAGAAGUACUAUUAAAACAAGCAAUUAUUGUCAUGCUUAACCAUAAAUUGGUAGUAUAUAAAGUGUAAAAUAGAUUGGAUUAUUUAAGAAAUAAAUAAUAAUGACGAAGGGUAAACUGUCGGUUUACCCCCUGAACUUUCACAUCACUUUCGAUUUCCCCCCUGAACUUUUCUAUUGGAAAAUUAAGGACUCAAACUAAUUUUUUUAGCCAAUUUGCCCCCUACCAUUAGUUUUUCAUAUAUUCCAUCCAUAUUUCCGUUAAGUGAGACCAUGUGCAUAACAUGUGAGGAUAGUUAAGUCAUUUCACUCUUAAAAAUGAUUAAAACUGAAAAUAAAUAAUAAUAAAAAUUUUCCCUCUAUUUUUUCCCGCUAAUUCCUAUCCUCAAUUUUAUUUUUCCCUCUCAUUCCUAUGCAUGAGAAAUAACAUAUGGUGUUAUUGUCUUCAUAAGUAGCUAAGUUAAUCUUUUUCUUGAAGCAUGUACUACCAUUAUUAUUUUCUCUAACAAAUUAAUAAUUUGACAAAUGCUCAUUGUGUUAUUGUCUCCAAAGCAGUACAUUAAUAUAAGAAACAUGUCCAUAAAAAAGAUUAAGGUUUCUUAUAUUAAUGCACUGCUUUGGAGACAAUAACACCAUUAGCAUUUGUCAAAUUAUUAAUUUGUUAGAGAAAAUAAAAAUGGUAGACAAUAACACCAUAUGUCAUUUCUCAUGCAUAGGAAUGAGAGGGAAAAAUAAAAUCGAGGAUAGGAAUUAGCGGGAAAAAAUAGAGGGAAAGUUUUGCCUUUUUUUUUUAUUUUCAGUUUUUUAAUAAUUUUUAAGAGUGAAAUAACUUAACUACCCUCACAUGUUGUGCACAUAGUCUACUUAACGGAAAUAUGGAUGAAAUAUAUGAAAAAUUAACGGUAGGGGGCAAAUUGGCUAAAAAAAUUAGUUUGAGUCCUUAAUUUUCCAAUAGAAAAGUUCAGGGGGGAAAUCGAAAGUGAGGUGAAAGUUCAGGGGGUAAACUGACAGUUUACUCUAAUGGCGAAUGAUGUAAAUUGUAGAUUGUAGAUAUAUCUAGGUCAUUGAUCAAAAUAUUUGACUAUAAGAUAUUGAUUAAGCUCACAAAUACGCAAUAAGAAAUACAUGAAUUCAAAGUCAAUUUUGUCUCUUUAGUUUGACGUUGAAAUCAAUAGCGUCUCGUACUGAUAAAGUAUUAGAAAUAAAAUAUAGAGAAAGAGAACGAAAGAGAGAUAAGAGAGAUAAGAGAGAUAUUGGAAGAAUAAAUCACAGUGUGCCUUCUUUCUCAUUAGGUAUUUCAUAGUAGUUUGAGUGUGUGUGAUACACAUAUAUAGGUAAUAUGAAACAUGCCGCCUGAGUUUGAGCUAUUGUUAGUUCAAUAUCGGUAUGACACUCAUAAGUUUAUUAGAGUACAAUAAAUUUGUAUCACCUCAAAUUUUCUGGCUUAUUAGACCAACUCCGACCUUAGGAGUAAGUUCUAAAAUUUCCCUUAUACUCCCCCCAUUUCAUUCCAACCCUUGUUCUAAAAUUGGGUUAAGUGCUAGAACUAAAAUAAAAUAAAAUAAAAUAACUUGUACACCAGCCAAGAAACCAGCAUGGGCUAAAUAUCCUGGCCCACUGUGCUUGUAGACGCGCUGUGAAAAAAGAGAAAGCGUGCUAGUUAAUGCACUAAAAGCAUGGCAGCGCGCCAAAAAGCAAGGAAAAUGGGACACUUUGAGGGGAAGUGGGGCCCAACCUAAUGGGGUUGUCGGCCACCAAUGUGCAAUCCCAUCUCCUUUAAUUCUAUCAGACGGCAUAGAUUUCCAUCUCCUUCAAAUCUAAUGGGUGAGAUUCAUUCUUUAAUAAUCUGGGAUUAAAAUUUUAGGUUAGAAGAGUUGGAGCAGAAAAGUUAUUUCUGGGUCAAAACUUAAAUUUUAUGGGUUAAAAAUUGUAGGUUUUACUCCAAUAGUUGAAAAUGGUCUUAUAAAAAUAAAUUUAUGUAAAAAUUUAAUAUAUUAGUAUCACACUCAUUUAUUGAAGCUACUAAAAAAAGCCUUAAAAUAUCUUUUUAUUGGCCUUAAAAUUUACAUGGAAAUUAUUUUAACUAAGUACAUAUUAUCUGUGUUUAAAAUUUAUUCGAUGUAGUCGAUAUUUCCAUAAAAUAUCUAAAAGAUCAAAGACAUAUAUGAAAAUGGGUGGUGAAGUCUAAACUUCACCUCAUAUCGGAAAAACUCUUUAGUUUAGGUUAAAAAUCGACAAAUAUCAUUGAUAUUUCUGACCCAUCUUUUUAUAUAUUGGAGAAACUUUUAUAUUUUGUACAAAUCCAUGUUUGACAAUCCCAAGUUUGACUUUAAAUUUCCAUAAUAUCUAUAGAAUGCAACUGAUAUCUAUAUAGAUAUUCGAUAUACAAAUUUGUGAUGUAUUCAAUAUAUGCGUCGAUAUUCCUACAAAUUUGUAUGUCGAUAUUUCUACCAAUAUCAAUAUUUAAACUUUUAUUUUAUUUUAUAUUUUUGCGAAACAAUAUAUUUUGUUAGAUUAGAUGUUAGAUUAGCAAUCAGUUGCUUUUCACUUCACACUCUUCAGUCCUUUCCUUUCUGUUAUGUUUCUUUCCCGAGAGAACCUGCAAGGGAAGCGGACGAUUUUUCCAUCCGCAAGGCAGUGGUCAACCUGCCAAUACAGGCGUCAUCGUCGUUGCCGAUUCCGGCAUCAAAUUCAUAGCCGAAGAUGUGCGGUCCAAAGACGGCAUAGUAAGUAAUCAAAUUGUUAAUAACUUGAUAUUAUUCUUCUUUAGUCUUCAAAUGUUUGCUAAGAAAAUAAAAAAAUGUACGUUUUUUAUUAGUGUUUCACCCAAUUUUGAUUAGGUUUUCCACUACGGUUUCGUUGAGAAUUCCGGCGAGGAAUCGGAGUCCGAAAUUCGAGAAAGGUGAAGAGGUGGUGUUGUGUGUGGAUGAGUCUAGCAAAAGCUAAUUACGCAUAUUCUCGAAGAAAUCGACUCAUUUGAUUGUUUAAGUUUAUCAUUUAAGUUGCUGUGCUUGUUCUUUGAAUAAACUAUUAGGGUGCGUUUGUUGCGCCGGACUGUCUCGGACUGGACUAGCUGCCGGGACUAAGCUGGACUGGCUUAGACUGGACUAAGCUGGACUAAUUUAGUGAAGCGUCUGGUGUAAUGUCGGACUAAGAAGCAUGAUAAGAAAAACAGUGCUGUUCACCAGAUUUGUGUUUGCUUAGACUAGGAUUACAAAUUUUUGCCAUUGUGUAAUAGAGUAAUGCUACAAAUCUCAUGAUAUGGGUUAAUUGGAGCAUAUUUUUGCUAUGUAUAUUAUGAAUCUUAAAAAAAAUUGACAAUUGUUUUGUUUCUAUUACCUGCUAAUAGAAUUGGGUUUAAUUUGCAAAUGUAGCUUGGUUUACACUCUAUCACCCAACAGAAGAAAAAUAAUAGUGCCCAAUACAUGCAACUUCAACAAAUACAAGUACAUAAGAAGAUCUCCAUAAUUUAGAAAAUCUUAAUUAACAUUAGUUAACAUUAGCCAAAAUAGAUCUCCAUAAUUUACAAAAUGGCUAGUUAACAUAAGCCAAAAUACUAGUGCAAAGCUAAGUUAUAAGCCAUAACAUAAGAUUGUAUGAUUAAUAAAAUACAUCCAUGUUAACAUUAAUAAAAUACAUCCAUGUUAACAUUUAGGGGUGGGUUCAAAAAACCGAAAACCGAAAAAAACCGAAAACCAAACCGAACCGAGGCCGAAAAAAACCGAACCGAAAAAACACCGAACCGAAACUGUCAAACCGAACCGAACCGAAUCUGACUGGUUCGGUUUCGGUUUUUGAGGUUCGGAAACCGAACCAAACCGAACCGAACCGAUAUAUAUAUUUAAUUUUUUUUUAAAUAUUAUAAAUAGUUUAGUCAUGCAAUCAUAACAAAACAUACCUUGUUGCUAAGUUGGUUUCGGUAAACCUUUUCAAGCCCCAAGGCACGGGUUCGAUCCUCCAGGAUGUCUGAGAUGUUUUUUUAUUUUUUGGAGAACUUAACUUAACAAACCCUUUAACCCUUUAACCCUAGCAACCAUACCCAUACCUUUUAUUUUUUUUCAUUCCCUUCCUCUCUCUCGUUCCCAGCCUCCUCUCCUCCAGUGUAACCCCAACCCAGCGCAGCCGAGCCUCCUCUCUCUCGCCGAGCCUCCUCUCCUCCAGAUGUCCGAUCGAUGCCGGUGCGCAAGGACGACGAGGUCCAGGUCGUGCGUGGGACCUAUAAGGGCCGCGAGGGCAAGGUUGUCCAGGUGUACCGCCGGAAGUUGGUCAUCCACAUCGAGCGGAUCACCCGAGAGAAGGUGAACGGGUCCACCGUCAAUGUCGGCAUCAUCAACCCCUCCAAGGUCGUCAUCACCAAGCUCCGCCUCGACAAGGACCGCAAGUCUCUGCUGGACCGCAAGGCCAAGGGCCGCGCCGUCGCUGACAAGGACAAAGGCACCAAGUUCACCGCAGAGGAUAUCAUGCAAAACGUCGAUUGAUUUCGAUCGAUUUCAUUUGGGUUCGUGUUUUUGUUAUUGAAAUGAAAUUAGCGACUGUCAAGUUAAGCACUUUAGUUUUGAUUAUGCUUUAAUGGAUUUGGCGUUUAAUCUAAUCUUCGAUUUGAGAAAAAAAAAAUUUGGUUCUGCACUGUGAUGCUUGCUUGUUCUGCACUCUCGCCAUGUCUGCACUGGUGAUUAAAUUCUGGAUGAAGCAUUUACAUUUUUCGGGAUGCUGGAUGAAGCAAUGAAGUAGCUGUUAAUUGUUCUUUACAACCCAAUGCCAAAAAGUACAGCAGUAUGCAAACAUAAGUUCAUAACAGAAGGUGGAGUUUAGAAGUACUGAAUCAUAUCACUUGUCUCAGAUGUUUGUUUAGGUUACUGGACCUGUUUUUUUCUGUUUGUUUCUCGGGAAAAUUUGCAGGCCCACCUGGUUUCAUUUCUCUGGUUGUUGGAUUUGCAAGGUAAAGUUUUCUGGGUUUUUACUUUGUUGCUCCAAAAGGGUCUUAGAAAGUCUAAUUCUUUGAAACAUUUAUGUGGGUUUUGUUCAGUUGGUGGGUUGUAAAUCUCUUAUGGAUAACAUCUAAAUUUUCAUUUUUUGGAGGAAAAAAAAAAAAAAACCGAAAAAAAACCGAAACCGAACCGAAAAAAAAACCGAACCGAAAAAAACCGAAAAAAAUAUGGGCCGAACCGAACCGAACCGAAAUUUCGGUUUGGUUUCGGUUUUGGCAAAAAACCGAACCGAAAAGAACCGAACCCAGCCCUAUUAACAUUAGCCAAAAUCCUCAUCCGCUUGCGUUGUCGCUUAAAAGCCUUUGGACGAACACUUUCUUGAGUUCCGGUUUGAUUGCCCUGCACACACACACACACACUGCAUACAUACAUACACACACACACACACACACACUACAUACAUACACACACACACACACACGGCAUACAUACAUACACACACACACACACACACACACACUGCAUACAUACACACACACACACACACACAUUGCAUACAUACACACACACACACACGACAUACAUACAUACACACACACACACACACACACACACACACUCCAUACACACUCACACACUGCAUACACACUCACACACAUACUUACACGGACAUACACACUCUCACACACGGACAUACACUCACACACACCCUGCAUACAUACAUACAUACACACACACACACUGCAUACAUACACACACACACACUGCAUACAUACACACACACACACACACACACACGGCAUACAUACACACACACACACUGGUCAGAUGCACACACUGCACUCACACGGACAUACACACUCUCACACACUGACAUACACUCACACACACCCUGCAUACAUAAUCAAAUUGUACAACUUAAGUUGGUUCAAACUUACACACAAUACACACACACACACACUACACAAACACACACACACACACACAAUACACACACACACACACACACACACACACGGCCACAAUACACAAACACACACACACACACACACACAAUACACACACACACUACACAAACACACACACACACACACAAUACACACACACACUACACAAACACACACACACACAAUACACACACACACACACACACACACACACACACACACACGGACACAAUACACAAACACACACACCCACACACACAAUACACACACACACUACACAAACACACACACACACACACACAUAUUACACUUACACACACACAUAUUAGAUACACACACACACACACAUAUAUUACACUUACACACACAAAGAUUACACACACACACAAAGAGAUUACACAGAGAGAGAGAGAGAUUACAUACAUACACACACACACACACAAAGAUUACACACACACACACACACAUAUUACACUUACACACACACAUAUUAGAUACACACACACACACACACACAUAUAUUACACUUACACACACAAAGAUUACACACACACAGAGAGAGAUUACAGAGAGAGAGAGAGAGAUUACAUACAUACACACACACACACACACAAAGAUUACACACACACACACACACAGAUUACACACAGAGAGAGAGAGAUUACAUACACACAGAUUACACACACACACACACACACACACACACAGAGUAUACACACACAGAUUACAUACACACACAUAUUACACUUACACACACACACACACAGAUGCGCACACACAGAUUACACACCCAAAUUUUUACUUGGAUGCUCUACCAGGCCAAAUCAGUCUUUCAAUCUCAGCCGUUUAAGAAAAUGCAUUGGUUCCCAGAUUAGACCACAUCAUCUACCAAUCUUCUUCCCCACAAAAACAAAAAUAACUCAAAUAAAGAAAAAAACCCAUUUAACAGAAAACCAGCGGCGGCGCCUGGGGUGCUUACGACGGCCGCCAGCAAAGUAGUGAAUGUUGCAGCAAAUAAGGUACUAGAUGAUACGCAGCCUGAACAAUCCUGGGUAGAUCCUUUGCCUGUAAUUAAUUGAAAUCCAAAAUGAUACAUAAAAUUCAAUAUACUAUACUGUAUAUGUAAAUAAUAUUUGAACGUAAAAUCUUCAAGGUACAUAAAAUAAUAACAUGCAAGACUGUCAAUUAGAACUUUCGUAUAGAAACCUUGAAGGCACAUCCUUCUUCGAGAUAACAAGGAAGGGAGGGGAACGUGUCAAGAUACUUACAACAUUAGUCUGGACAAUUCCAGGUGAAACGCACACUACACUAAUGUCAGAUUCAGCAGGCAGCCGCUUAUGUAGGACACUACUAAACAUAAUCUGCAAUCCAUAUACGACUAGGUUAGAGUAGUCUUGUUUUAGCUUCGAAAAUUAUAUACAUACCACCGCAGUUAAUUGACAUUUAAUUAUGUGCAAGUGUCCAGCCUUGGGUAAUAGAUGACCAGCUUUUACAAACUAAUAGAAAAGAGAGAUCAAAGCAGAAGUUGAAACCAUAAAAAUUAAAAAAAUUAAAACAAAAUUAAAAAAAAAAAACACAAGCAGAUUAUAGCACCCAAUCAUCAAGCACUUGAUCAAUGUACAGGUCCAAGUAACUAAAAAGAUCUAAAUAAAGACAGAGGCACCUGUAUUUCAAAUAUAUAUAUAUAUAUAUAUCGCACAAAGUAGUUAAACUUUACAGAUCAAGAGGACCUGAAUUCAUUUCCACAAAGAUGGAUAGGAAGAAAAGCUUGUAGCUCUUACAAGCUUGUUCCAGCUAAAAUAUGGAAACCAUCAAACAAUAAAGACUUUCAAGACCACAUGUGCCAACUUGCUGCUUGAGUAACCCACUAAGCUUGUAUAUUUUCUUUUCCUGGAAACAACGUUCAUGUCUUCUGUGUCAACAAAGCCAACAUAAUGCAUCUAUAUAAAGAAAGAACGAGCAUUCUCAGAUUAACAUAACAAUAAAACAAGAAUAUCAAACUGUGAAAUACAUUUAUAGUGCCAAUCUAAAAACCUAAGGAUGUAUCUACAACUAGUUAGCAUAUAUGCCAACUAGUUUUUCUUUCCAUGUGUGUGUACGUAGGUGUGCGAAUGUUAUAUAUAUCAUAUAUACCCAGAAAAGCAAAAGCAGAAGAGUGUAAAAUUUUAUGCAUGAUGACCAUGGAACUUACAACGGAAUUCAAAUUAACAAUUCGACUCGGAGAUCCUCUAAUAAGGGAAGGCAAUAGCAAGACGGAUAGCAACGCUGGAGCCAGAUGAUUCACUUGCAAGUGUUCUUCGUAACCAUCUUUAGAAAACUUUUGCGGCUCUGAACACACCAAAGACAGAGUAGUCCAGCAAAUGACCGAUCAGAUUUUGAAGGGAUCAACAUUUGAAAUCAGGUAAAAAUGUCAACAAAGCGAUCAACCUCCAAUUGAAAAUAUCCCAGCAUUGUUGAUAAGAACAUGGAGAGGUCCUAAACGAGCAUUCCAUGCUUCGGCAAAUCUCACAACAGAAUCCAAUGAAAGCAGAUCAAGUUCCAUUACCUAUUAAAGUUAAACAAUAAUAUUGUUUGUAUAUAAUUAAUGAAAUGUAGAUAUUAGCGUUGGCCCUGUUAAUAAGUUACCUCAAUAUUGAGAGGAAGCCCCAUUCCAGACCAUUCAUUUUGCCACUUCUGGAUCAGCUCAUUAGCUGCUUUCGUAUUCCUCACCGCCAUUACAACAUACGCGCCUGAUUCCGCCAGCUGCCUAUUCAGUUUUCAUGUUUAAGCAAAACUAAUUCAAAAUUCACAAUUGAAACUGAGAAAUGGGCACCAGGUUAUCAAAAUUCUCAGUAACCAAACGGUGGGACCCCUAAGUCCCAAUGCAAUCUUGCAAAUUAAGUUGAUUUAUUUAUACUAAACAAACAAGCUAACAAGAAAAUUGAAAUCGUCAAUGUUUGGAGAUUUGAAGGAAGGAGAAGGAGGAGACCUGGCGAUUUCGCGGCCGAUGCCGCUGGUGGAUCCAGUGACAAUGCAAGUGAGAUCGUUGAUGGGAGGCAAAGGCAUGGGGUUGGGCAUCAACGAGAAGCUUUCGUCGAUGAGGGUGAGGAGGACGACGACGAGGAAGCAGGGCAAGAUCGACGAAGAGCGACGAGCAGGACGAGGGACGUUGGGGAUCCUCGCAGAGAUGAGGACGAGCAGGACGUUGGGGAUCCUCGCGGUUUUCUCUCCGUGCUUACGAGUCCGCCCAAAAUUGGGGUUCUUCGUUAAGAACUCGUAAGGAGGCGUGUAAUCCGAGCGAGUCCCACCUAAGCCCAUUAGGGUGCGUUUGUUGCGCCGGACUAUCUCGGACUGGACUAGCUACCGGGACUAAGCUGGACUGGCUUAGACUGGACUAAGCUGGACUAACUUAGUGAAGCGUUUGGUGCAGUCUCGGACUAAGAAGCAGGAUAAGAAAAACAGUACUGUUCACCAGAUUUGUGUUUGCUUAGACUAGGACUACAAAUUUUUGCCAUUGUGUAAUAGAGUAAAGCUACAAAUCUCAUGAUAUAGGUUAAUUGGAGCAUAUUUUUACCAUGUAUAUUAUGAAUCUUAAAAAAAAUUGACAAUUGUUUUGUUUCUAUUACCUGCUAAUAGAAUUGGGUUUAAUUUGCAAAUGUAGCUUGAUUUAAACUCUAUCACCCAACAGAAGAAAAAUAAUAGUGCCCAAUACAUGCAACUUCAACAAAUACAAGUACAUAAGAUCUCCAUAAUUUAGAAAAUCCUAGUUAACAUUAGUUAACAUUAGCCAAAAUAGAUCUCCAUAAUUUACAAAAUGGCUAGUUAACAUAAGCCAAAAUACUAGUGCAAAGCUAAGUUAUAAGUCAUAACAUAAGAUUGUAUGAUUAAUAAAAUACAUCCAUGUUAACGUUAAUAAAAAUACAUCCAUGUUAACAUUAGCCAAAAUCCUCAUCCGCUUGCGUUGUCGCUUAAAAGCCUUUGGACGAACACUUUCUUGAGUUCCGGUUUGAUUGCCCUGAACACUCCCACAUUUUUUGGUUUAUCCAAAAUAAGAGACAAUGCAUCAAUUUGAUCCAUAGGAGAGAGACCCAUUGUUUCAAGUUCAUUAGCUAUGUCAGUAUGAUCUGCAGUACCUUGAACUAAAGCUUCAGUUACCAUUUGCAUCAUCUUCCCACUUUCAACAUAAAAAUCUUUCAGUCCACUGAUAAUUGCCUCGGUUCCAUCACUUGAACUUCCCACAGCUCUUUUCCUCUUUCUUAGCCUUCUGUUUAUGCUCCUCUUCUCUGCAACAAACAACCACAAAAAAUUGCAAUUCAGCAUCAACCCCACACCAUACAAAACAUUCACAUUGUAAUAUCAUGGUUAUAAACCAAGUACAUACACACACACUCAUGGACAAAUGUGCAAAAUACACAUACAUACUCACACUCACACUCACACUAACACACACACACGGACAUACACACACACUGCACACACACUGCACACUGCAUACAUACUGCAUACAUACACACACACACACUGCACACACACACACACUGCAUACAUACAUACACACACACUGCACACACACACACUGCAUACACACACACACUGCACACACACUCACACUCACACACACUCACACACACUCACACUCACACUCACACACUGCACAGUCACACACACACACACACGGGGACAGAGUGCAACACACUCUUACCCUCACACACACACUUUGUUUUUAUACUCACACACACACACACGCACACACACACACACACUGCAUACACACACACUGCACACACACUGCACACUGCAUACAUACUGCAUACAUACACACACACACACACUGCACACACACACACACACUGCAUACAUACUCAUACUCAUACACACACUGCACACACUGCAUACAUACAUACUCAUACUCAUACACACACUGCACACACACACACUGCAUACAUACACUACACACACACACACUGCAUACAUACUCAUACACACAUUGCACACACACACACACACACUGCAUACAUACCGCAUACACACACACACACACUGCAUACACACUCACACACACACUGCAUACACACACACACUGCACACUGCAUACAUACUGCAUACAUACACACACACACACACUGCACAUACACACACACACACUGCAUACACACACACACUGCACACACACACAGUGCAUACACACACACUGCAUAUACAUACACACUGCAAACACAGUACAUACAUACACACACUACAUACACUACACACACACUACAUACACUACACACACACACUGCAUACAUACACACUGCAAACACAGUACAUAUACAUACACACACUACAUACACACUACACACACACACUGCAUACACUACACACACACCCUGCAAGUACACACACACUGCAUACACCCUGUAUACAUACACACUGCAAACACACUACACACACACUGCAUACAUACACACUGCAAACACUACACAUAUACACACACUACAUACACUACACACACACACUGCAUACAUACACACUGCAAACACAGUACAUACAUACACACACUACAUACACACACACACACACUACAUACACUACACACACACACACUGCAUACACUACACACACACCCUGCAAGUACACACACACUGCAUACACCCUGCAUACAUACACACUGCAAACACACUACACACACACACUGCAUACAUACACACUGCAAACAUUACACAUAUACACACACUACAUACACUACACACACUACACACACACUACAUACACUACACACACACACUGCAUACAUACACACUGCAAACACAGUACAUACAUACACACACUACAUACACUACACACACACACUACACUACAUACACUACACACACACACUGCAUACACUACACACACACCCUGCAAGUACACACACACUGCAUACACCCUGCAUAGAUACACACUGCAAACACACUACACACACACACUGCAUACAUACACACUGCAAACACUACACAUAUACACACACUACAUACACUACACACACACACUGCAUACAUACACACUGCAAACACAGUACAUACAUACACACACACUACAUACACUACACACACACACUACACUACAUACACUACACACACACACUGCAUACACUACACACACACCCUGCAAGUACACACACACUGCAUACACCCUGCAUACAUACACACUGCAAACACAGUACAUACAUACACACACUACAUACACUACACACACACACAGAGACACACACACACGCAGACACACACACACAAGCACAAAGUACUCCCAUUGUUGAAACCCCAAUUUUUAAAAAAUCGAAAACAACAUGUGGGUAGGACUUCCAAGUUUUACAACAUUGACAUCCUAAAUUCCCAAGUUCCAUCUCUCAUCUUAUGAAAAGCCCAAAUCCUAAUUUCAAUUUCACCUAAUAUAUCAAAACCCUAAUUUAUUCAAGUGCAGAUCUCUAUGAUUCAAAAAUUAUCAAACCCAAAACAAUCAAAUCACACAUAAAACUCAGUAAAAAUUACCUUCUACAACACAAAUACAUGCAAUUAAUAGAAGAAUCGAAGUUUACCGUACAACUCAGAUGAGGCGAGCAGAUGCAGAGACAGAAAGGCGCUCAGAGGAGGGUGAGGAGGAAGAAGAUGAGAGAGCACGGCAACGAAAAUGAGAGGGAACGUAGAGAUGAGGACGAGGGAAGACAGGAGGAAGGGACGAAGGGACGAAGGGAAGGCAGAAACUCUCUCGGUUUGCUCUGGCUUACGAAUCCACUGGGUUUUGGGGUUGCUCGCGAAGACCACCUAAGGAGGUCUUUAGUCCGACCGAGUCCGGCUUAAGCUCAUUAAAGCUAAUCCGGUUGCACACCAAACACAUGACUAUAGUCCUGUCCAGUCCAAGCCUUGCUAAUCCUGUCAAACAAACGUGCCCUUAAAGCUAAUCCGGUUGCACACCAAACACAGGACUAUAGUCUAGUCCAGUCCAAGCCUUGCUAAUCCUGUCAAACAAACGUGCCCUUAUUGUACAACAAACUCCAAGUUCGAUUUUCGGCCAAAAUACUCCGAAGCUCGUUUGCUUAGUCGUUGUUUCAUAUUUUAUAUUUUGAUGAUUGAUUGUGGAGUUGUUUUUGUGCAGGCUUCACUCGGCCGGGCAUUUGCUGGAUACAUCUAUGUAUGAGAAAUGUGGGAUUGGUUGAUUUAGAGCCAACCAAAGGCUACCAUUUCCCUCCGGGGUAUGAUUAUUUCUGCUUUAUUGCUUUAAGCCUAUAUUAGAAGGUGUCGGCAUGUUUCUUGUUGCAAAGUCUUCUGUUGGAGCAAGUCCACCGGAGUGGUUUUUGCCCAGCACCCUGUCCAAAUAACAAGCUGAGGGCCAGGGAAUUCACUCUAGCCCGUCGGGCUGCCUGGCACACAGCCCAAGCCAGUCAACAGACCAGUCCAAAAUUGACUAACCAAGGAGCCGGGCUAUUUGCCUGGCGUGCGCCUUUCACGCGGAAAUCGUCCUCGACGAUCUGAUUGGGGUCGAGUUGGAGAACGAUUGGUAGACAUGGAAGCAAUCCUUGAACCGCCGCCACCAUUUUUCACGAUGUAAACCAGCCCAGUUUUGUACAGCGCCACGCGGAUUGCUACAAAUAUACAGAUUGUUACAACUACAAGAAAGAUUGGACUGGAAAGAAUCAUAAUUUGGAUAUUUGGGGAAAAACCCAAUUCGAUUUCCCUAAAAAGUCGUGGAAUUUGGUGAUUAGAGAUGGGAUUUUUUAGGUGGAAAGGGGAUUUUGAUGGGUCUCUUACUUCUUUACGAAGGGAAAAUCAUGGCAGGUUGGGUACGAGUGCAGAGAGUUGGAUGUUGGAAAAUAAGAAGAAGAAGAGAAAGGACCGGAGGGAAUGGAAGCAGUAGGAAGGAAACAAAACUGCAAGACCUUUCGAGAGAAAGGAAGAAAAAUGAAAAAAAAAAGAAUUGAUAAAAUAUUAAUUGAGAUGAAUAAAAUAAUAUAAUAUUAGGUAGACCGGGUGUCAGCGUAUUUUUAGGGGUGGAGAUGCUUUGAUCUAUUACUGUUUAUUAGGGUCUAUUACUGUUCACUUGAGUGAAUAAAUGCGCUGGAUGCUGGCACAAAAUCCUUAGGGGUGGACUUGCUCUUAGCAUCAGGGAACUGAACUUAUUAGUCGGCAAGAACCUUCUUUUUUAUUGUUUCCUCAAUCCUCGUUCAUUGGCGAUUGAGUUUCUUAAUUUAAAAUAAACAGAAAAGCACGAUCACUCUGAGUUUACAUAUGGUAAACGUCAGCUGUCCAAGCAAUUCUCCACAUAACAGCACAAUGAUCCUUCCUUUUGAUUGUAGUCAGUAGUAACAGCCCACUCUUACUUCAACUUUCCACAAGUCAAUUUAUCUGUGGCAAACAACGCAAUGAUCGUUCCGCUUGAGCCUUAAAGUGUGUUUGUACCAUACUUGACCAAUCCCGAAACUACCGAACACCGGCCAACGCUAUACUGUCAAGGACCCAGAAGAGUUCCCCUCCGACCAGGAGGCCAAUCACUACUCGACACGUGUCAAGAUUAGAAGCCAAUCAGAGCGCAGCACGUGUCGACAUCAAGAACCAAUCAUAACAUGACACAUGUCAAUGUGACAAAGCUACAAGUUUUUCUAUAAAUAGGGGUCAUUCCCCCACAAUAUUGGCUAAUGCCAUUUUGUGUUAAAUCAUUCACAAGAACUCACUAAAUUGAGAGCUUGAUCCUUUGUACUUGUGUAAGCCCUUCACUACUAAUAAGAACUCCUCUACUCCGUGGACGUAGCCAAUCUGGGUGAACCACGUACAUCCUGUUUGCUUCUCUGUCUCUAUUCAUUUACGUACUUAUCCUCACUAGUGACUGAAGCAACCAAGCAACCAAGCGAAGGUCACAAAACCUGACACUUUCUGUUGUACCAAAGUCUUCGCUGAUUUUGUGCAUCAACAAAGUGAAAACUUACUACCAUCCCGUAAGUGAACACUAGGAACUUUUAUAUUGCUGACGUGUGAAUUUGGAUCAAUAUAUUUAGACGGCCAAAUCACAGUCACGCAUGUAAACACAAAGAUUUGAGUGUAGCCUAGCCCAUGUUAACAGUAUAGAUAAUAGAUGGUUAGAUACAUUGACAUGUGUCAAGAGAUGUGGUUGUUAUAAUAUCAGUAUGGUUGUUAUAAGUAGGAUAAGGUGUCUUAGUGAAGAAGUAAUAUAGAUAACUAUAUAACAAUUGUAAGUAGAGUAAUUCAGUAACUUUGCAGUACAGAAAUAUAAUUCAUUUCUCUCUCUCUCUCUCUAUCUUUCUAUCUCUAAAACCUCUUCAUCUUCUCUGUGAUAUUACAUUACUGCAACUUAAUAUGUUGCUUAACAUGGUAUCAUUCGCCGAUCAAGCUCUACGUGCUUGAAAGGUUUUUUUUCUGAUCUUGGAAUCGUUGAUUUUUGCUUCCGCCGCUCAAGAUUCUUUCUUUCUCUGUUGUGUUCUUCUGAUCUGGGAAUUUUCAUAGUUCUUUGGGUUGUGAUUCUUCGUCUGCGCAAUCGUGCCCUCUACGUGUUCGAUACAUUUCCUGUGAGAACUCUUCUUCGACAAUUUUGCAAUGGUGACUGCCAAUCAACUACAAAUUGUGCAAUCGCCUAUCACAUCUCUUAUCUCCACCGUUCCUACGUCGGUGACUGUGAAGCUUGAUGAUUCCAACUACCUCACAUGGCACUUUCAGAUGCAACUCCUACUUGAAGGUCAUGGAAUUAUGGGGUUCUUGGAUGGUUCUAGUCCUUGUCCUGCACAGUUUGGCUCUUCUGGAUCUGGCGAUUCUGAUUUAGAUUCUGGAGAUUCCUCGUCCCGAAUUGAAACAGAUGCAUACAAGAUCUGGAAGAUGCAUGAUCGAGCUUUGAUGCAGCUUAUUACUGUCACCCUUUCUCCAUCCGCUAUUUCAUGUGUCAUUGGAAGCACCAGUGCUCGGGAUCUAUGGAUUCGUCUCAAUGAGCAAUUUUCUAUUGUUACUCGUGCAACCAUAUUCCAGAUGAAGUCUGAGUUACAGAAUAUCAAGAAAGGCCCUGAUUCUAUAUCUCAAUUCUUACAGAGGAUCAAGGCUGCUCGUGAUUAUUUGGCAGCUGCCGGAGUCCAUUUCGAGGAUGAUGAUAUUGUCAUUCUCACUCUUAAUGGCUUAUCGGGAGAAUAUAAUACCAUCCGCUCUAUCAUUCGAGGUCGAGAGAAUGUUAUUUCUCUUAAGGAUCUGAGGUCUCAGUUGCUUGCUGAAGAAGCAAUGAUUGAGAAUACAGCUGUUACGCCAUUUUUG
rnacentral:lncRNA from 1 species